GGCGCGUUCGUGGCGGCGAGGUAGCGGCCGUAGGCGGCGCUGUGGAGAAGCACGUGCUGGGCCUGGGCAUCGUCAUCGGCAUCGCCCUGGUACAGGUGCACCGCCCAAGCCGCGUUCAUAGACGCCCGGCAGUGGUGGAGGGAGACGCCAUGCCCGUCCUCGUUGGCGUGCAGGUACGUCCCGUGCACGCGGCUCCGCAGCCGCACGUGGUGGCCGUCCUGGAGAUGCUCCAUCUGCUGGAGGGCGCUGCGAGGUGGAAGUGGGGAGGAUGGGUUCUUGGUUUCUUGGCGCUCCGGCGAGGUGGAGAAGAUGAGAAGCGAAAGCUGUUGGUUGUGCCGGUUAUGUUAGGCGCCAAGGUGAGGAUGGGUUCUAUUUCAAGAUGGCUGACACGCCGUCGCCGUACGCCCAGGUGGGCUUGCGGGCCGAGGCCCGAAAAAAAAGUUCCUUGGGUUGCGUAAGUUAAUGUCCACAACACACUGUUAUGUUUUUUCUCAGCUUAUACCAUACUCCCUCCGUUUCUUAAAUAUAAAUCUUUUUCAUAGGUUUUAUUUAAAAAUUACAUACGAAUGUAUUAGACAUAUAUAAAGUGUAGAUUCACUUAUUUUGCUCCGUAUGUAGUCCUCUAGUGAAAUCUUUAAAAAAAGUUAUAUUUAGGAACAGAGGGAGUAUAAGCUAAAAAAAGUUGUUCUUCUCAAAAAUAAAAAGCUAAACAAAUUGUGUAUCACACAAAAAAUAUAUAAAAAAUUGUUGCUAAAACAUAGCUAAUUUUUUCUAAAAAAUGCUUUAUCUAAAAAAGAAAAAAUGCUGCAUUUCUAAAAACAAUUACUGUUUUGUCUAUGCAAAAUAAAAGGCUCUCCUUCCAUGCUUUACAAAACACAAUUUUAUCAUAUAUAGCAUGCUUCAUAAGCUGUGCACGCGGCUCCGCGGCCGCACGUGGUGGCCGUCCUGGAACUGCUCCAUCUGUCGCCGGUGACGCUGGAGAGCAGAGGCGCGCGGUGGACAGAGAAACCGAGCGGGGAAGGAGAGGUGGGGAUGAUGAUCCGUGGGUUCUUGGUUUCUUGGCGCUGCGGCGAGGCGGAGAAGAGAAGAAGCGAAAGCUGUUGGUUGGGACGGUUACGUUGGGCGCCAAGGCGAGAGUAUUUCAAGGCUUCGGCACUAGGUGGGCCGUUGGAAAUAGGCCUCGAAGCCCACGUAAUUUUCUGAACCAGCACGCCUAACCAUCCACAAGCAGUUGCUCGAAAAACAAAAUCCACAAGCACACUAAAAAAAGACGUCCACACACAAUACUGCUCUGUUUAAAAAUGGCAAUUUUCCUUUUUGGCUCAAGAAAAAGAAAAUACAACCGCAUUGAAUUGACAUUUAUUGAACGUUUCAUUGAAUUGACAUAUCGAGAUGAUACAAUCGCAUUGAAAGAAUGUCCGCCCCUACGUAGCAUGAUGCACACAAUCAUCAAGUCCAACAGAUCCAAAAAUAAACAUCAUUUUACAGCAAUAGCAAAUCAGUCCAGCCUAGGAUGGGGCACAUCCUAUCCAGAGAUUAAAAAUCAUGUGCAUGCAUGAAUAACCUGUACAGAAAACACAUUUAUUAUUAAAAAUCACAUCGUUCUUGAUAAGGCACAAUGCCCAGCAUAAGCAGUCGCUCCUAAAAGAAUGUGGGUAGAAAAUUGUUUAUCAAUAUCCCGCAACCAUUAGCCGAUCAUGUCACAUGGAGAUAUAGAUUUGAAGCUACUUGAACUAUGGGCCACAGUGCACGAGUGAACUUACACUAAAAAAUAAAAUGUUCAAUAAAACAUAAAAUGUUUGUGAAUUCAAAAACUGAUCGGGAUUUAUGUAAAAAUGUUCGCAAAACAAAAAAAAUGCAUGAUUUUAAACAAAAGUCCGUGUAUUAAAAAUUAUUAAUGAAAUUUAAUAAAAUGUUUGCCAAAACAUGUUCAUGCAUUUCAAGAAAUGUCCUAAAAUUUUCAAAACAGUUUGUGAAUUACAAAAGAGUUUACUGAUUAGAAAAUAAUUGUUGACUCAGAAAGUGUUCAUGAAUUUAGAAAAAAAUCAUGAGUUUCAAAACAAAUCCACCAACUUCGAAAAAUAUGUUUGUCUAUUCCGGAAUUGUUCGUCAAUUCAAAAGAAAAUACUUAAAAAUCGUUCGCAUUAUAAAAAAAUGUUUAUAAUUUAAAAAAAUGUUUGUAAAUUGUAAAAAAUGUUCUCAAUUUUAAAAGAGUUUCUAAAUUUGUAAAAAUGUUCAUGAAUGAUUGAAGGUAUGUAAUUAAACAGUAAUGCUUCUGAGUCUUUGUGACAAUAUACCCGUGUGAAUUUUGAAGAAUUAACUACAAGGGUGGAUCAAAAUAUUAUAGUAUGUUUUCUAAAAAAAAUUUCUUGAAAUUCAGAAUAAUUCUUUGAAUUACCAAGUUUUUUGACAACCAUGAUAUUUUUUCGAAAAUGUGAACAUUGCUUUAGCUUGUGAAUAAAUUAAAAGAAGAAACAUUUUCUUGCAUUUAUGCACAAAAUUUUAAAAUCAUGCGGUGAGAUAUGAACAUAACUAUGAACACAACAUGGUCAUCAUCAUUGGAGAUUAUGAUAUUUUUUUCUCCUGUUGCAAUGCACGGGCCCUUUUGCUAGUAAAUCUAAUAUACCAUAGUGAUCUCGCGGGUACCGUUCUAUUACCCCACACUCCUCACUAUCAAUCGAUGUGAAUCUCUAAGCAAGGGCACCAAUAUCACUUUCGUUGUCUGCUCCACACGUAGCAUCAUCCAUCUCUUGCUUCAGUUGGUAAAUCUAGAUGUUAUAGUCCUUGAUAGAUUUACAAUUUUUUUCCUGUUUGAAACAUGAUUUCAUUGUUAUUGCCAAAUGAAAGGGCAUGGCCAGGGAGCAAAAACUAAACAAACUAAUUUUCUGAAUACGUUACAAACACACCAAAAUAAAAAAAUCUAACGGCCAUACGUGACCAUGUCUUCCCAAACGCAUCUAAUACUUCUGCCAACAUGCCCUCCAUCUGCUGGAGGGCAGAGACCGUCGGGGCUGCGCAAUGGAAGUGGGGAGGAUGGGUUCUUGGUUUCUUGCCGCUCCGGCGAGAUGGAGAAGAUGAGAAGCGAAAGCUAUUGGUUGUGGCGGUUAUGUUAGGCGCCAAGGCAGAGUAUUUCUAUUUCAAGAUGGCUGACACGCCAUCGCCGUACGCCCAGCUUUAGGCACUAGAUGGCUUUCAGGCCGCGGCCCAAAAAGAAAAUGCUCCCUAAAAGUCUGGUUGAGUAAGUUAAUGUCCACAACACACUGUUAUGUUUCUCAGCUUAUACUAUACUCCUUCCGUUCCUAAAUAUAAGUCUUUUCAGAUGUUUUAUUGAAACUACAUACGAAUGCAUAUGGACAUAUAUUACAGUAUAGGUUCACUUAUUUUGCUCAGUAUGUAAUCAUGUAAUGAAAUCUCUAAAAAAAGUAAUAUUUAGGGACAGAAGGAGUAUAAGCUAAAAAUUGUUGUUCUUCUCAAAAAUAAAAAGCUAAACAAAUUGUGAUUCACACAAAAUUUUUUAUAAAAAAUUGUUGCUAAAACAUGGCUAAUUCUUUUCUAAAAAAGGCUAAAAAUGCUAAAUUUCUAGAAAAAAUAUUGUUUUGUCUAUGCAAAAUAAAAGGCUCUACUUUCAUGCUUUCAAAACACAAUUUUCUCAUAUAUAGCAUGCUUCAUAAAAAUAAACUCUAGCUUCAUGCCCAUCAAAACAUUCAAGUUCUAUUGUAUUGUAUUGCGAGGGGGAUCUUAGGCACCAUGGGAGAAAAGACAGAUAGACAGAGAGAAAUCGACCAUCGCCUCGUGUUCUAUGUGUCGUGUUGGUGACCUCGUCUCCAUGAGUAUUCCAACACAUGGAGGUGAUGAACUAUUAGUGCAGAAAAGGCUAGCUAUGACGUGACAAAAAUAGCCAUACUGCCGUGAACACCCGACGCUAUUAUAGACAAAAAUACUACUAAUAAUAAAGGCAAAAAAUACUAAUAAUACUAAAGAUAAAAAUACUAAUAAAAAUAUGACUAAACCAUACUAAUAAUACUAAAGACAAAAAUACUAAUAAUGUUAAAGAAAAAAUAUUAAGCAUGUAAAGCCGGCAUACCAAUUUGGCCGAUGCCACCGCUAUCUUACAAACAGGAAUUAUAGAUGGACCAAUAUAUUUGUGGUGCGUCUAAAAAACCCUACGUCAGCACUAAUAAUGUAAAGCUGGCAUUGCUUCAAAGUGGCGCGCCACCAACAUAAGUUCUCAUUAACCAUUUCUUUACUAGUGAACUUCGGAUGAUCAUUUCACAUGUAGGUUAUGUGCUUUUAAUGUCAAGUUUGAGUAUCAUUUAUAUGAGCGUCCUCGUGGCGUGAGGCUGAAGUCCUACCGACUCUAUAAACAUCAUGUCAUUGAGCCGUGGUGAUAUAACAUGCAGGGCCAAGAGCCAAUGUUCUUCUGGUGUAGCAGAUUAACGACUUAUGUUUGGUAGAUGGUCAAUGUUGCUUGCUUUUCAUAGCUUUAGGAUUUCAUUGGUGGUGCCAAGUAUGACAUGAUGUCUUGUACUCAUGUUUCAUCAUUUAGUGCUCUUGGUAUUCUUCCUCAUUUUUUCGGUGAGGAACGAUAAUUUUGCCGGAGUACAUUGCAACGAGAGUUUUCAAGCAUCUAUGUUAUCAAGGGUUUAAUGAUUUGUGUGAAUUCGUUGAAACACUUGAAGUUAGUCAAACUUUCACAUAUUUGGUCUUUUUCUCUACCAAUCUAGAUAUCUCAUGCUCUACCAACAUAGAGAUUGCUUCAUGAUAUACUUAGCUAGUUUGUAUGCUUGUUCAGUGAAUAUCAUGUUGGGCCCCAAAGCACAAGGGUUUGCAAUAGGAAGAGAGCUUUUCCCGUAGUCGUGAACCAAUGUACCAAUCAAUGGAGUUCUUCCAAUAACCAAUGAUCCGAAACAGCACACAACUAAGACACUUCACUUGGAAUCCAACAUUCUAGUGAGGUUGUCAUUCUCGUUAGCUUUGCUAGUUAGAAGUAAUAAUAUAUCAUGAGGUUGGAAAUGAUUUUUAGGAAAUGAAAUAAAUGGUUUAAAAUAUAAAAGAACAAUAAUUAAAGUGAUCAAUUUUGUGAUUAAGAGGAAUAAAGUAACGGGGUUCCAUAACUUCACUAGUGACAUCUCGCCAUGAAAGCAUAGCUGUGGUAAAAAAAUACAGUUGCAUAAAUUAUAGUGUUUAUGGCUAAUCAUACAUGUCAUGGUUGUAUAUACGUAUUACACCCUUGUAUUCAUAGACCAACAUCCAAGUGCAUCUAUGUCUAAUACUCCACCUAAGACCGCUCAACACACAUCUCUAAGUAACUAAAUAACAAAGAAUUGCACUAAGGAAAAUGAUAUAAUGUAGAUAGUGUAUUCGCUUUACCUCUAGUUCAUAACUAAGACACCUAUUCAACUACAUUUUCAUACUUUGUGGAAAUAACACAAUGGAAGCAUUUUCCCCUUUCCUUCACUAGGAUAGAUUAUUUACAAGGCUAAACCUAUCUAACAUACAUAACUCCCUCUUGUAGAUUGAUACGUCCAUUUUGCAUCAUGCUUUCAUGUUGAUAUUUAUCGCUUUAUGGGUUGUUAUAUUACCUUGUGGUACCAUACUUAUGCCUUUUCUCUCUUAUUUUGCAAGGUUUAUUUGAAGAGGGAGAAUACCGACAACUGGAAUUCUGGACUGGAAAAGGAGCAAGUCUGAGUCCUCUAUUCUGCACAACUCCAAAUGCCCUGAAAAUCAACGUGGAAUUUUUUUGGAAUAUAUAAAAAAUACCGGGCAAAAGAAGUACCAGAGGGGAUCUACUAGGGCCCCACAAGCCUGGUAGCCGCCGCCCCCUGGUGGCGGCUACAGGGCUUGUGGGCACCCUGACGGCCCACUGGCCCCCUCUUUUGCUAUAUGAAGGGUUUCGUUCCAGAAAAGAUCAAGGUGGAUCUUUUUCUUGGAUUCUCCGCCGCCAUGAGGCGAAACUUGAGCAGAUCCAAUCUAGAGCUCCGGCAGGACGAUCCUGCCGGGNNNNNNNNNNUUUUUUUGGGAAUAUAUAAAAAAUAUCGGGCGAAAGAAGUACCAGAGGGGAGCUACUAGGGACCCACAAGCUUGGUAGCCGCCGCCCCCUGGUGGCGGCUACAGGGCUUGUGCGCACCCUGACGGCCCACUGCCCCCCUCUUUUGCUAUAUGAAGGGUUUCGUUUCAGAAAAAAUCAAGGUGGAGCUUUUUCGUGGAUUCUCCGCCGCCACGAGGCGGAACUUGAGCAGAUCCAAUCUAGAGCUCCGGCGGGACGAUCCUGCCGGGGAAACUUCCCUCCCGGAGGGGGAAAUCGUCGCCAUCGUCAUCACCAACACUCCUCUCGUCGGAGGGGAGUCAUCUCCAUCAACAUCUUCAUCAGCACCAUCUCCUCNNNNNNNNNNNNNNNNNNNNNNNNNNNNNNNNNNNNNNNNNNNNNNNNNNNNNNNNNNNNNNNNNNNNNNNNNNNNNNNNNNNNNNNNNNNNNNNNNNNNCACCGUGCCCCUCCUCCCCCUGCUGCCCUCCUCCCCCUGCGGCCUCUCCUCCCCCUGCGGCCCUCCUCCCCCCGGCUAGUUUUUUUUUUCUUUUUUUAAUAGUUUUUGUUUAACUAGUUAUAUGUUUUAGUGAGGUUUUGGCUUAGUUUUAGUUUAGUUUAGGUUCAGUUUUAGUUUAGGUUUAGUUAGAUUAGUUUCCUGUUUAGUAAAGGAGAAAAGGAGAAGAAGAAGAAGGAGAAAGUAGAAGAAGAAGAAGGAGAAAGGAGGAGAAGAAGAAGGAGAAAGGAGAAUAAGAAGAAGGAGAAAGGAGAAGAAGAAGAAGGAGAAAGGAGAAGAAAAAAAUAAGAAGAAGAAGGAAAAGAAGAAGAAGGAAAAGGAAGGGAAGGAGAGGAAAGAAGAAAGAAUAAGAAGAAGAAAAAUAGGAGAGGAAGAGAAGAAUAAGAGGAAAAAAGAAAAUAAGAAGAAGAAGAAGAAGAGAAGAAGAAAACAAGAAGAAGGAGAAGAAGAAUAAGAGGAAAAAAGAAAAAAGAAAAUAAGAAUAAGAAGAAGAAGAAGAAGAAGAAGAAGAAGAAGAAGAAGAAGAAGAAGNNNNNNNNNNNNNNNNNNNNNNNNNNNNNNNNNNNNNNNNNNNNNNNNNNNNNNNNNNNNNNNNNNNNNNNNNNNNNNNNNNNNNNNNNNNNNNNNNNNNUUUGAUCCACAUCAUAGUAAUCAUAUAUACCAUUAGCAUAAGAAGCCAAGGUUCUAUGAUCAUUAAACUCACAAGAAAAGGGAAGGUGUGGAGCCUUCAUCCUAGAGCAACAAGUAACACCACAUCUCUUGCAUAGUUCCCAAUCAUACCAUUUCAACAAAUGGAUUUGAUCCCAUAAAAGUUUCCCUUUUUGAGUCAAGCGAUAAUCCCUAAAGUAUUCACGUUGAUUCAACGUGUAUCCCAUUAUAUAAUUGAAUGGGGCUUUCUCAGGAUUAUUAAAGGAGUGCAUAAUAUUUUCCACAUAACGAGCCUCGAGGGUUUUAGGAAGUUCCCCAUCUCCAUGAGUAGCAAGUACACCUAAUUUUUUUGGUAUUUCGUGUUCCAUAACCAUAACUAAAGAUAGAGAACAACUUAGAACAACAAAUAAAUCUACUUAGUGAUAAAGCAAACAAGCACACACGAGGAUAUUCACCCCACGCUAUUGCUCCCCGGCAACGGCGCCAGAAAAAGGUCUUGAUAACCCACAAGUAUAGGGGAUCAAUUGUAGCCUUUCUCGAUAAGUAAGAGUCUCGAACCCAACGAGGAGCUAAAGGUAGGACAAAUAUUCCCUCAAGUUCUAUCGACCACCGAUACAACUCUACGCACACUUUACAUUCGCUUUACCAAGAACAAGUAUGAAACUAGAAGUACUUUGUAGGAGUGAUAGAAUAGGCUUGCAAGAAAGUAAAGAACACGUAAAUAAAACUAGGGGCUGGUUAGAUAAAGAAACAACUACGAGUGUCUAACGACUGUGGAAAAGUGGUGGUAGGAGUUGCGGAAUUGUCCCUAAGCAAUUGACUACGUUACUAGAUCGAUAGCAAGUAUCAUGUGGGAGAGGCCUUUGCUAGCAUGGCAUCCCUUACUUGGAAUUUUAUGCACUUAUAAUUGGAACUAUUAGCAAGCGUCCGCAACUACUAACGUUCAUUAAGGUAAAACCCAACCAUAGCAAUAAGAUAUAUUNNNNNNNNNNNNNNNNNNNNNNNNNNNNNNNNNNNNNNNNNNNNNNNNNNNNNNNNNNNNNNNNNNNNNNNNNNNNNNNNNNNNNNNNNNNNNNNNNNNNNNNNNNNNNNNNNNNNNNNNNNNNNNNNNNNNNNNNNNNNNNAUGCUGUCACUCUAGCCUGCCAAUACAUAGUCCUAUCAACAUACAACUAACCUAUGGUGUGAUCCACGCGCGCGAUCAUAUGAUUGGAACCAAAGGACAGCAGCAUAACCACAAGCAAAUUAAACCAACCAUAGCAAUUUAUCAAUCACCGAUAGGACAACGAUAAUCUACUCAGACAUCAUAGGAUAGCAACACAUCAUUGGAUAAUAAUAUGUAGCAUAAAGCACCAUGUUAAAGUAGAGGGUACAACUAGAGAUGGCAAUGGGUCGGGUUUGGAGAGGGUGGAGCUGGUCCAAAUCCAACCCAUGACCCAUAUUCCUACCCUCUGCCCAUCCACCAAAGUAUCCAUGGGCACAAAUUGUGCCCAUGCCCAAACCCAUUGGAUAUCCAGAUAUCCAUGGAGCUCCAUGGGCAUAGAAAAAUCAACAUGAAGCCUUCACAAAUUUAAAAUUAACUCAUCGUCGUUCGUUAACUAAGAUUAGGUUUAAUAAUUAUGUUAGUGGAGUUGUGGGGGAUUAGGGAACAUGGGUCACACUUCGACCUUCUCUGACUGCGAGUGACUUGGGGUUGGACAUUUUCUUAGUUUAAUGUCACUACCGUAGGGGCCCAUUUGUCAUAUGGGUAUCCACUGGAUAUCCAUGGAGCAAAAAUUAAAACCAUGUCCAACUCGGUUGUUCAUGGGUAUCCAUAUCCAUGGAUCCAUGGGUAGAAAUGUGCUCUAUACCCUCACCCAAUCGGAUCGGGUAUCCACGGGUAUCCAGAUCCAUGGAUAAAAUUGCCAUCCCUAGGUACAGCGGGUUACGGGAGAGUGAACCGCUGAAUAUAGAUGGGGGAAGAUGAUGGAGAUGUUGGUGAAGAUGACGAAGGUGUUGGUGUAUAUCGCCAUCACACGAUGAUGUCCUGGGCGGUGUUCCGGCGCCGCCGGGAGAGAGGGGGAGAGAGCCCCCUCCUUCUUCUUCUUCCUUGACCUCCUCCCUAGAUGGGAGAAGGGCUUCCCCUCUGGUCCAUGGUCUCCAUGGCGGCAGAGGGGCGAGAGCCCCUCCGAGAUUGGAUCUCUCUCUCUGUGUCCUUCNNNNNNNNNNUGCUCUUCCAGAUUCUGUGUUUCACCGUUUCUUAAAUUCCCAGAGAUUCAUAACUCCGAUUGGGCUGAAAUUUUAACACGAUUUUCUUCCAGAUAUUAUCUUUCUUGCGGCGAAAGAAGGGCUCCAACCGCCUUAAGGAGUGUCCACAAGCCUGCCUGCCGCGGGCCCACCCCCUGGCCGCGGCGACAGGGCUUGUGGGCACUCCGUGCAUCGUCUCGCGUUGAUUCUUCUUUCCAAAAAUCAUAAAUAUUCAAAAAAAUCCUCGUAAGUUUUUAUUACGUUUGGACUUCGUCUGGUAUGGAUAUUCUGCGAAACAAAAAACAUGCCACAAACAGGAACUGACACUGGGCACUGGAUCAAUAUGUUAGUCCCAAAAAUAGUAUAAAAAGUUGCCAAAAAGUAUAUGAAAGUUGUAGAAUAUUGGCAUGAAACAAUCAAAAAUUAUAGAUACGACGGAGACGUAUCACGCGCCAACAUGGUAUGGGACCCAAUGUUAGUGACCGAAAGGCGGGGUCGGGCGUGAGGUCUGAUUUUCUUUUAAAACAUCAUGACAUUUUAUUUUUUCCUCACAAAAAGCACCUCAAUUUUCUUCUUCUUAAAGUAACCCUGAAACGUUACUAUGACNNNNNNNNNNNNNNNNNNNNNNNNNNNNNNNNNNNNNNNNNNNNNNNNNNNNNNNNNNNNNNNNNNNNNNNNNNNNNNNNNNNNNNNNNNNNNNNNNNNNAAAAUGAUUUCGUCGAAGAGUAUGAGCUUCUGUCAAAGACAGGAGGCGGCUAUCCCGGUUUCAUCUCUUGGUUCAAACAAACGGUAAUUUAUCAAUAAUGGACCAUUUCAUUCUUGGUCUAACUUGCGGCUAAUGCAACAAUCGUUUCGUAUUAAACUUGUAGGCUAAUUCAGAGUCUAUGGACGCCGAAUUGAGACAAGUCGCUAAUGGUUUUGACUAUAAGGUCCGUUCAUUUGAGAAAUACAACAUCAACGGCUAUCUCUUUCGUACCUUUGGCAAAGAGCUAUCUAUGCCCGACCAGAAAUGUACAAAUUGUGGUGUCUCUGCUAUCGACGAAGGUGUUAUCGAGUAUUAUGGAAGAGUUGAAGCAAUUUAUGAACUUCAAUUCUAUGGUGAAAACACACCGAACGUCGUAGUCUUCAAAUGUUAUUGGUUCCAGCCGAAGAAGACUAGAAGGACUCAUGAACAUAUAGGACUAGUCGAAAUCAAUCCAAUCACCCAUUUAGAUGUUCCCGAUGUCUAUAUUACGGCUCAACAGGCGACCCAAGUUUUCUAUCUACCGUGGGCAUGCCAAACGGAUAAGAAUCUGGAAGGUUGGUAUGUUGUUUAUGAAGUGCUGCCACAUGUCAGACCACCUCUCCCAAAUGAACAGGAUUAUGAACCUCACAUUAAGCCAGACACAUAUGAUGGAGAAUUCUUCCAAGAAACACGUAUUUCCAAGAAACGUUUCAAGAACCGCCGUGCUUCACCCAAGAACAUGGAAGUAGACAACGACAAUGAAUCCGACUCCAGCCCUGAGCUGGAACCAGAAGACCUAGAACUCGUAGAGGUUACUGAUGCGGAUGACCUGUCAAUGCUUCAAUGAUUAAAGGAAGGCCUUUCACAACUUCACGCCGUUGAACCCGACGAGCACGUCAUUCAUGAAGACAUGCGUGAUAGUGAUGAUGAUGAUGCAUUUAUUGAUGAUGAUUAUUAGUUUGAAAGAUUCACAACUUAAAUUAUAUAUAUUUUAAUCUUUAUUAUUAUUGUACAUAUUAUUAUUCAUGUCAGUUAUUCAAUUUUGUUAUGUUGUACUAAUUUCUUUUAAUCUUUAUCAUGGCAGGUCACCAGGUGUGGAAAUAUGGUGGGCGCAGGUCCAGAUCGCUCGACGGGUUCUUCCCAGGCGCCCCGCACGAGGGCUGGUACUUCCCUUCCACCCCUAUCUCUUCGUAGAGCCUUGGCAGACAGUCUGUCGACACCACCCGUGGGUUCUUCUUCGUCGGCGGCAUUGCCCACUAGGAGAGGUGCUGGUCGGGUAGGGAAGAAGGGGAAGGGUACAUGGAGAGGUGGUGGUCGCGGAAGAUCCAGGAGGACUGUUGAGCCGUCCUCGCCACCACCACCAGCUCAUUCACCCGAGCAUAGGACUACUAUGGUCGACCCGUUUGCGGAGGAGGCUACGGGGACUCCGUUCCAGGNNNNNNNNNNNNNNNNNNNNNNNNNNNNNNNNNNNNNNNNNNNNNNNNNNNNNNNNNNNNNNNNNNNNNNNNNNNNNNNNNNNNNNNNNNNNNNNNNNNNUGUGAUGAUAAUGAUGAUGCUCCUUACCGAUCUGAAAAUUUGGCUAUGCUUCGUUAUUGUUAUACUAAUUAUGAAUAUAAUGCCCAUAUUGAACGAUUUAAGGAGAAAUUCCCCGCUGCCCAAGAAGAGACUAAUAUUUUGCAGGAAACUAUGGAAAAAGAAAAUGAUGAAACUGUGAGCUCAUUAGAUGAAAAAUAUGACGAGGAGAGCAAAGAACAAAAGGAGGAAGAGCGGGCUAGCUACCCGUGCCCACCUUCUAAUGAGAGUAACUCUUCAACUCAUACAUUGCUUAAUUUACCUUCGUUCUNNNNNNNNNNNNNNNNNNNNNNNNNNNNNNNNNNNNNNNNNNNNNNNNNNNNNNNNNNNNNNNNNNNNNNNNNNNNNNNNNNNNNNNNNNNNNACCGAAGGAUGAAUGCUAUGUUGAUUGCUAUGAUCCCUUGGAUUCGUUUGAAAUAUCCCUUUUUGAUGAACUUGAUGCUUGCCAUGCUUGUGGCCAUGAUGCCAAUAUGAAUGAUGCUUAUGAAGAUGAGCUAGCUAUAGUCCCUUAUGUUAAACAUGAUGAUUUUGAUGAAUAUAAUAUGCAUGUGCUUGCUGCUCCUACUUGCAUUUAUUAUGAGAGAGGAACUACAUCUCCACCUCUCUAUGUUUCCAAUGCGAUCAAAUUGCAAGAAACUGCUUAUGCUAUGUAUUGGCCUUUACUUGGUGUGCAUGAAUUGUUCUUUUAUGACAUGCCAAUGCAUAGGAAGAGAGUUAGACUUCGUCAUUGCUUGAUAUAUGUUACCUUGUGCUCACUACUAAAUUUCAAAGCAUUGCUAAUUAAAAUUGGCUUUGAUAUACCUUGGGAUCCGGGUGGAUCCAUUACUUGAGCACCUUAUGCCUAGCUUAAUGGCCUUAAAGAAAGCGCUGCCUGGGAGACAACCCGGAAGUUUUAGAGAGUCAUUUAUUUUUGUUGAGUGCUUUUAUUUAGUUUAAAAACAAAAAAAUAUAGAGGGGAACUUAAAACUUUUUCAAAAAGAGAAGCGAUUGAAAGGUGAUGCAUUGCGGAAGUGAGGGUCGACCUUGAACACUUGUGUUCAUGCUCAUGGAAACAAUGUAGAAUUUUUCAUGGAAGUUUCUCACAAAAAUAAUUACCCCCCUGUACAAUUCCUUUGUGUUUUUAAAAAUAAUGUGCCAAGUAAAGCCUUUACGAUUAGUUUGGGUGAUAGUUGUUUGAUCACGCUAAGAAAAGACAGAAACUUUCUGCUCACGAAAGUAAUUUGCAUUUUUAUUCUGGAAGAGAUUUUGAGUUGAUUCUUUUUGCUGCUGAUUUAUAUGCAAAUUUUCCAGACGUUCGUAAUUUUUCAGAUUUUUUGAGAUAUCAGAAGUAUACGGAAUAUACAGAUUGCUACAGACUGUUCUGUUUUGACAGAUUCUGUUUUCUAUGCAUUGUUCUCUUAUUUUGAUGAAUCUAUGGGUAGUAUCGGGGGGUAUGAACCAUGGUGAAGUUGGAUUACAGUAGAUAUAAUGCUAAUAUGAAUUUAAAAUGAGUUCACAAUAGUACUUGAAGUGGUGAUUUAUUUUAUUAUACUAACGGAUCUCACGAAGUUUUGUUGAGUUUUGUGUGAUUGAAGUUUUCAAGUUUUGGGUGAGAGCACGAUGGAUGAAGGAAUAAGGAGAGGCAAGAGCCUAAGCUUGGGGAUGCCCGAGGCACCCCAAGGUAAUACUCAAGGAAGACUCAAGCGUCUAAGCUUGGGGAUGCCCCGGAAGGCAUCCCCUCUUUCGUCUACAAUCUAUCGGAAAUUUUACUCGGAGCUAUAUUUUAAUUCGUCACAUGAUAUGUGCAAAUGCUUGGAGCGUCUUUUGUGUUUUUUUAUUUUUAUUUUUUGCACCAUGCUGGUAUGAGAUAGUCCUUGGUUGGCUUUAUAGAAUGCUUCAUGUGCUUCACUUAUAUCUUUUGAAGUUUGGAUUGCCUGUUUCCCUACAUAUAGAAAACCGCCAUUUGUAGAAUGCUCUUUUGCUUCACUUAUAUUUGUUAGAGCAGGGCAUAUAUUUUAUAGAAAGAAGUAAACUCUCAUGCUUCACUUAUACCUAUUUAGAGAGUUAAUAGGAGUUGGUCAUUCACAUGGUUAGUCAUAAAACCCUACAUAAAACUUGUAGAUCACUGAAUAUGAUAUGUUUGAUUCCUUGCAAUAGUUUUGCAACAUGAAUAUGUGAUAUUAGAGUCAUGCUAGCGAGUAAUUGUGUAUUCGUAGAAAUACUUGUGUUAAGGUUUGUGAUUCCCGUAGCAUGCACAUAUGGUGAACCGUUAUGUGAUGAAGUCGGAGCAUGAUUUAUUUAUUGAUUGUCAUCCUUUGUGUGGAGGUCGGGAUCGCGCGAUGGUUAACUCCUACCAAGCUUUCCCCUAGGAGCAUGCGUGUAGUACCUUGUUUUGAUGACUAAUAUACUUUUGCAAUAAGUAUGUGAGUUCUUUAUGACUAAUUUGAGUCCAUGGAUUAUACGCACUCUCACCCUUCCACCAUUGCUAGCCUCUCUAGUACCGCGCAACUUUCGCCGGUGCAUUACACCCACCAUAUAGCCUCCCUCAAAACGACCACCAUACCUACCUAUUAUGACAUUUUCAUAGCCAUUCUGAGAUAUAUUGCCAUGCAACUACCACCGUUCCGUCUCAUGACAUGUGCCACCACUUCCACAUUCCCAUUGCAUGAUUGUAAGAUAGCUAGCAUGAUGUUUCCAUGGCUUGUCCGUUUUUUGAUGUCAUUGCUAUGCUAGAUCAUUGUCACGGUACACUGCCGAAGGCAUUUCAUAUAGAGUCAUCAUUGCUCUAAGUAUUGAGUUGUAAGUGUGAUGAUCAUUAUUAAUAGAGAAUUGUGCAUGUGAGGAAAUAAAAGAGGCCAGCGAAGCCCAUUUACAAAAAAGAGGCCAAAGAUGCCAACCAAAAAAAAGAGGCCAAAGAGCCCACAAAAAAAAUGAGAGAAAAGAGAGAAGGGACAAUUGCUACUAUCAUCUUUCCACACUUGUGCUUCAAAUAGCACUAUGAUCUUCAUGACAGAGAGUCUCCUAUGUUGUCACUUCCAUAUACUAGUGGGAAAUUUUCAUUAUAUAACUUGGCUUGUAUAUUCCAAUGAUGGGCUUCCUCAAAAUUGCCCUAGGUCUUCGUGAGCAAGCAAGUUGGGUGCACACCCACUAGUUUAUUUUGUGAGCUUUCAUACACUUAUAAGCUCUAGUGCAUCUGUUGCAUGGCAAUCCUUACUCACUCACAUUGAUAUCUAUUGAUGGGCAUCUCCAUAGCCCGUUGAUACGCCUAGUUGAUGUGAGACUAUCUCCUCCUUUUUUGUCUUCUCCACGACCACCAUAUUCUAUUCCACCUAUAGUGCUAUGUCCAUGGCUCACUCUCAUGUAUUGCGUGAAAGUUGAAAAGGUUUGAGAACACUAAAGUUGAAACAAUUGCUUGGCUAAAACCGGGGUUGUGCAUGAUUUAAAUACGUUGUGUGGGGAAGAUGGAGCUAGUGAGACUAUAUGAUUUUGUAGGGAUAACUUUCUUUGGCCAUGAUAUUUUGAGAAGACAUGAUUGCUUUGUUAGUAUGCUUGAAAUAUUAUUGUCUUUAUUUCAAAUGAUAGACUAUUGCUUCGAAUCACUCGUGUUUUAGUAUUCAUGCCAUGAUUAGAUUAUAUGAUCAAGAUUAUGUUGGGUAGCAUUCCACAUCAAAAAUUAUCUUUUUUAUCAUUUACCUACUCGAGGACGAGCAGUAAUUAAGCAUGGGGAUGCUGAUACGUAUCCGUCAUAUCUAUAAUUUUUGAUUGUUUCAUGCUAAUAUUCUACAACUUUNNNNNNNNNNNNNNNNNNNNNNNNNNNNNNNNNNNNNNNNNNNNNNNNNNNNNNNNNNNNNNNNNNNNNNNNNNNNNNNNNNNNNNNNNNNNNNNNNNNNGGGCUCCGCCCGAGCUCCGCAGAAACGCGAUCUAGAGGAAAAACCGUGGAGGUAUGUGGUCGGGCUGCCGUGGAAAAGUCGUCUCAAAUCAGCCCUAAAACCUCCGUAUAUAUAGGUGGGAGGGAGGGGGGCCUUGCCUUGGGGUCCAAGGACCCUCAAGGGGUCGGCCGAGCCAAGGGGGAGGACUCUCCCCCCCCAAACCGAGUUGGACAAGGUUUGGUGGGAGGGAGUCCUCCUCCCUUCCCACCUCCUCCCUUUUUUUUCUUUUUCUCUUGAUUUUUCUUCUCUUGGCACAUAGACCACUUGUGGGCUGUCCCACCAGCCCACUAAGGGCUGGUGUGUCUCCCCCAAGGCCUAUGGGCUUCCUCGGGGUGGGUUGCCCCCCCGGUGAACUCCCGGAACCCAUUCGUCAUUCCCGGUACAUUCCCGGUAACUCCGAAAACCUUCCGGUAAUCAAAUGAGGUCAUCCUAUAUAUCAAUCUUCGUUUCCGGACCAUUCCGGAAACCCUUGUGACGUCCGUGAUCUCAUCCGGGACUCCGAACAACAUUCGGUAACCAACCAUAUAACUCAAAUACGCAUAAAACAACGUCGAACCUUAAGUGUGCAGACCCUGCGGGUUCGAGAACUAUGUAGACAUGACCCGAGAGACUCCUCGGUCAAUAUCCAAUAGCGGGNNNNNNNNNNNNNNNNNNNNNNNNNNNNNNNNNNNNNNNNNNNNNNNNNNNNNNNNNNNNNNNNNNNNNNNNNNNNNNNNNNNNNNNNNNNNNNNNNNNNNNNNNNNNNNNNNCAUAUUGGAUCCUACAUAUUCUAUGAAGAUCUUAUCGUUUGAUCCUCAGUGCCAAGGAUUCAUAUAAUCCCGUAUGUCAUUCCCUUUGUCCUUCGGUAUGUUACUUGCCCGAGAUUCGAUCGUCAGUAUCCGCAUACCUAUUUCAAUCUCGUUUACCGGCAAGUCUCUUUACUCGUUCCGUAAUACAAGAUCCCGCAACUUACACUAAGUUACAUUGCUUGGAAGGCUUGUGUGUGAUGUUGUAUUACCGAGUGGGCCCCGAGAUACCUCUCCGUCACACGGAGUGACAAAUCCCAGUCUCGAUCCAUACUAACUCAACGAACACCUUCGGAGAUACCUAUAGAUCAUCUUUAUAGUCACCCAGUUACGUUGCGACGUUUUAUACACACAAAGCAUUCCUUCGAUGUCAGUGAGUUAUAUGAUCUCAUGGUCAUAGGAAUAAAUACUUGACACGCAGAAAACAGUAGCAACAAAAUGACACGAUCAACAUGCUACGUCUAUUAGUUUGGGUCUAGUCCAUCACGUGAUUCUCCCAAUGACGUGAUCCAGUUAUCAAGCAACAACACCUUGUUCAUAAUCAGAAGACACUGACUAUCAUUGAUCAACUGGCUAGCCAACUAGAGGCAUGCUAGGGACGGUGUUUUGUCUAUGUAUCCACACAUGUAAAUGAGUCUUCAUUCAAUACAAUUAUAGCAUGGAUAAUAAACUAUUAUCUUGAUACAGGAAUUAUAAUAAUAACUAUACAUUUAUUAUUGCCUCUAGGGCAUAAUUCCAAUAGUCUCCCACUUGCACUAGAGUCAAUAAUCUAGCCCUCACAUCACCAUGUGAAUUGUAAUAAAUCUAACACCCAUACAGUUCUGGUGUCGAUCAUGUUUUGGCCGUGGAAGAGGUUUAGUCAGCGGGUCUGCUACAUUCAGAUCCGUGUGCACUUUGCAUAUAUUUACGUCCUCUUCCUCGACGUAGUCGCGGAUGAGGUUGAAGCGUCGUUUGAUGUGUCUGGUCUUCUUGUGAAAUCGUGGUUCCUUUGCUAAGGCAAUGGCACCAGUGUUGUCACAGAAUAAGGUUAUUGGAUCCAGUGCACUUGGCACCACUCCAAGAUCCGUCAUGAACUGCUUCAUCCAGACACCCUCCUUAGCCGCCUCCGAGGCAGCCAUGUACUCCGCUUCACAUGUAGAAUCUGCUACGACGCUUUGCUUGGAACUGCACCAGCUUACUGCACCCCCAUUAAGAAUAAAUACGUAUUCGGUUUGUGACUUAGAAUCGUCCGGAUCNNNNNNNNNNNNNNNNNNNNNNNNNNNNNNNNNNNNNNNNNNNNNNNNNNNNNNNNNNNNNNNNNNNNNNNNNNNNNNNNNNNNNNNNNNNNNNNNNNNNGAUGACUCCACCCAGUACUUCUCCGAGUGUCCUCUCAUCUUCGGGUCCAGCUAUGUCAAGCUCCAUAUCAUGAAACCCCGCCAUGAUUUCAUCUCGAAAAGAAUGCACGCCUUCUCUGUAAGCGGCUGUGCGUCGAUCACCGUACAUCCAUGGAUGGCUCAUCUGCGUUAUACGACAGUAUAUCAAAUACAAUCACGAUCCUAAAAAUUAGUACCGCACGGUCUAAACGAGGAAAUAUAGUUGCUAACCUUUUAGAAUAAGUAGAAAUAAAGAGGAAGAGGUUUAAGCGUGGCUCAGGCAUCUCAUAUCGUAGUUGUGUUCGGUGAACUGAAGCGGCAUCGCUCUAACACACAUUUCAACAAACACCUCUAGUGCAUCAAAAAAAAGUGGAGAGCUAGCACACACCCACAAUCCUCCAUCCAAGAAAAAUGCAAGGAAGAGGGGAGAGGGGGGUUGUGCUAUAUAUAGGCAGAGGACUUUAGUUCCGGUUUGAGACACAAACCGGAACUAAAGGUGGCGCACAUGCGGGCUGCACACCGCGUAGUCCUUUAGUCCCGGUUUGGGACACGAACCGGGACUAAAGGCUCCUUACGGGCCGGGACUAAAGCCUCGAGGGAGGCAUUGCGAUUUGGGGCGACGUGGCCGGGCCUUUAGUCGGGACCAGAGGCAGGCCGGGACUAAAGGGUCCCGGCCAAAGGUCCGUUUUCCACUAGUGAUAGUGUCUGUGAACAGAUUGUCUAAUGAAAUAUGUUGCUUCAAAAAAUAAAAAUUAAAAACAGUCUGCAUGCCUGGCACUGGCUUUGGUUGAUCGACUGGGCGCCAGAAUCCGGCUCCGACUCGGUAACAGCUUCGUUGCACCGCCACACCACGCAAUGUAUUGCUGCCGCCCAAGAUCUUGGAGCUAGAGUCGGAGUGGACACAUCCUAUAUAAGGCAGCACGCCCAACCCUUUCCCUACCAACACAUCGCCUCUCUCUCUCUCUCUCCUGCACCUACGCCUCGAAGCUUUUGUUUUGCUGCCGGAACCUCCUACCUGCGAUCGCGAUCUCGUGGUGCGGUGAUCGAGAUGGCGAAGCGCAAGUCGAUGAGCUCCAAGAUGGCGUCGCGGAAGAAGCCGGCGCCGAAGCUGGAGACCACCUUCUGCUGCCCCUUCUGCAACCACCCCGACGGCGUCGCAUGCACCAUCGACCUCAAGCUCUUCGUCGCCAGUGCCGUCUGCUACGUCUGCCAGGAGGCCUACCACACCGCGGCGCACCACCUCACCGAGCCCGUCGACAUCUACCACGAGUGGAUCGACGCCUGCGAGAAAGCCAACCAAGACGUCGACGACGUGGACUGCUACAAACGACAGCGGCGAGUCGGCAGCGGCGACGACGACGACAGACAUGCCUGAUCGAUCCGAUUGAUACGUCCUCAAUCAAAUCUUGAGUAGUUUGAUGUUUGAUCGCGUCUCUCCAAACUGUGUCGAUUGGAGCCUGUAGUCCUGAUCGAUCAUGUACCUCUGUUGCUGCGUAAUCUGUAGCGAGUUCUGAUCAUCAGGUAAUCUGUGACUGGUUUCGUUGUUGCAGCCAAUUCUCUUAUUUUCCUUCGAGGAUAGUUGAAUUUACCUUGUGAGCGAGAUAUACAUUUUAGUCACAACUCACGAGAUAAUUGGACUACAAUCUUCUUUUGGCACGGACAAGAGUACCUUGUUGUCUCUAGAAAAAAAAAACGCUUGGAACUAUUAAACUGAAAAACUAAAUCAUGCCGCUAGUGGAAGAGUUUGGAACCUGAAAACCUAAAUCGGUUCGGUCUGCUAAUUUCAACUUCACAGAGAAGAUGAUGAUUUCUAUUUUUUAGCCUAGUGUAAUUUGUAGCGAAUAAAGUGUGGACAAAAUUCAGGUUGUAUCGCAGAGAACAUUACAUUGUUUUGAGACUCCUUUUGAUCUUCUUAUUUGAACUUGUUACAGUACCUGUGACACAUGAUACCUAACUACUUAACUGCUUUUCUGCUAAUUCAGCCCACGUGAUGAUGCGGUACGCGGAUGUCGAUGCAGGGUAGAGAGAUAUACCCAUAGAAGUCGCCUUCCUGUCCACCUCUUCAGAGUAUCGCCGCCUCAGUUCAAACUUCUAACUUGUAAGGCAUGGGUUCAGGGAAACCCAGCAGUUGUUGCGUUUCUGCUAGAUAAAUUCUAAUUCAGAAACUGUUCUCAAAUUCAGAAACUAUUUCAACAAUGAGUCUCUGUAAUGGUUUCGCCCUUGUUUGGCCGCAUUGAAUACUGAUGUGGUGGCUCUUGCAGCGAGUUGAGCACUUGAGAUUACAGUUUCAGUCCUAUAACAGAAAAUGAAGUUGUUUUUCGACAGAGAACUCUAUGGAAACAUUUGUAGAUUUGCAAUGCAGGAAAAUGAAGCAGACCGUAGGCUGAGAAGAGUUUGCAGUGCAGACCGGAGGCUGGGAAGAGUUGGCAAGGAAACUACUCCCUCCCUUCCUAAAUAUAAGUCUUUUUAAAGGUUUCACUAGUGUACUACAUACGGAUGUAUAUAGACAUAUUUCAGAAUGUAGAUUCCUAGUAAAAUCGUUUGAAACACUUAUAUGUAUGUAGACUACUAGUAAAACAGUGUAGAUUCAAUCAUUUUGUUCCGUAUGUAGAUUCCUAAUAAAAUCGUUUAAAAGACUUAUAUUUAGGGACGGAGGGAGUAGAAGGCAAAACCAAACGACAUAAAACAGAAAUCUUGCACAACGCCCCAAGAUUUUUAAUUUUUUUUGAACAGAUAAGAGCUGAACAGCGCAGUCUGCUUCCACACAGGUCAUGUAUUUAGGAAAACAAAAUCUCUGGAAUUAAAAAGUUGUAGUACUUCAAAAACAGUUCAUUUACAAAAGGCUGUUUUGUACUUUCCAAAAAAAUGUUCAUAUACUUCAAAAAAAUACUUGUUCAAUUUUUAAAACUGUUUGUGUGUCUUUAAAUGUCCAUGUAAGUCAAAAAGUGUUGACACAUUUCAAAAAAUAUUCAUGUAGCUUUAAGAAGUGUUAGUUCAUUCUUAAAAUUACGUUCAUGUAUUUGUAAAAGAAAGAAGACCGUGUCCUUUUAAAUUGUUCAUGCAUUUGGAAAAGCUCAUCUAAUUUAAAAAGGCCUCAGACACUUUACAUUUUUAGAAAAAUGACGGUGCACCGCCAGUGAGAUCUUCCCAUCACACACUAGCUAGAAUUUGUUAAGAUGCAUCGGAAAAACAGUUACAUCUUAGUGUGUAAAAGUAUUCAAACAUAAGUGUGGAAUUGAACAACACUGCAGCCCUCUUCACAUCACACACUAGCUAGAAUGAUCAUGGGUGGAUACAUAUGGUCGGAGCAGAGCUUGGUUGCAGCCACUUCAUUUGCAGUGCACCCCAAUCCCCAGCCUUUAUAGAGCUGAACGAUCUUGUGAUUCGGUAAAAAAACAGACUCCAAAACUUUUCCAGUAGGAAUUUUUCUCCGUUUUGGAAUAUUUGAAAAAAUAGAAAAAUUGGAAGUAGUCCGGAAAGCGCGCGAGGAGGCGACAAGCCUGCCAGGCGCGGGCCCACCCCCUGGCCGCGCCUGGGGGGCUUGUGGCCACCUCGUGUGCCUCCCGGACUCCGUUUCCGUGCGGAGUACUCCUUCUGGUCUGGAAAAAAUCAUUAUAUAUUCUCCCGUAAGGUCUGACGCUCGUAUCACGCAGAUUUCCUCUGUUUUCGUUUCGAGCCUGUUUUCUGCCGCAGAUUUAGGUCAAGAUAUCUUCUCAGGAUUCAGAGGGGGAGAGCUAUGUGGUUGAUUACCUCGCUAACCCCAAGGUCUAUGGGGACUUGGAUCGUUAUGGCUGGACCACUGAUGAGGAAGAAGAUUAUGAACCCAAAGGGAAGGAAGGAACAAGUUCCGAUGAGGAGGAGGCUCCUCUACCUCCACCUGGAAACACCCAUGUGGAGUUCAAGAAGUCGAGCCUCCCUGACUCAAAGAAGAAACCUAAGACUCUGUUUAUCCCUUCUCGUUUCUUGCAGGAGAGUAAGCAGGAAUUAUGCCAAAGGGUGUUGAAGCUUGAAGAGGAAAAUGAUGAUUUGAGGGAGCAGAAUUUUAUGCUCAAGUGGAAAUUAAACAAGCUCAAGACCUCUGCAACAACUCUACCACCAUCACCUCCAAAGGAAGACAACUGAGCAUGGGUAUGGGCAAUCCCCUUGGCUUGUGCCAAGCUUGGGGGAGUUGCCCCGGUAUCGUAUCACCAUCACAUCUUUUGCCUUUACCUUUGUUUUAGUUUGUUCCUUUUCAGUUUUCUUUUUCUCUAGUAGAUUAAAAGUCUUAGUGUUUCAGUCUUGAGUUUUGCUUUGUGUCACCCAUGAUGUAUUCGAGCUCGUGAGCCAUAUAAUAAAGAGUGUCUUAGUUGAGGGCUUUGCCUCUUGCCAUGAUCAAAAGAGUGAGAAAAGAACAAAAGCAUGAAAGAUCAUGUAAUGAUCUUAUGGGAAGUGAUGGCUUCACAUAUAAAAAGAAUGUUGAUUGAAACUUGUUGAGGGUAGACAAACGUAGACCUUGGUCAUUGUUGCGAUUAAUAGAAAGUGAUAAAGAAGGAGAGGUUCACAUAUAAAUAUAUCAUCCAUCUAUGAUUGUGAACACUCACUAAACUAUUGCAUGCUUAGAAGUAGAUGUUGGACAAGGAAGACAACAUAAUGAAUUGUGUUUGCUUGGUUCCACCUCAUAUGACGAUUGCUUCCACCUCAUAUUAGCCAAAACUCCCGCACCCAGUAGAGAUACUACUUGUGCAUCCACAAACCUUCAACCCAGUUUUGCCAUGAGAGUCCACCAUACCUACCUAUGGAUUGAAUAAGAUCCCUCAAGUAAGUUGUCAUCGGUGCAAGCAAUAAAAAUUCUUCCUAAUAUGUAUGAUCUAUUAGUGUGUGGAAAAUAAGCUUUGUACAAACCUGUGAUGAGGAAGACAUAAAAGCGACAGACUGCAUAGUAAAGUUCUUUAUCACAGGAGGCAAUAUAAAGUAGCGUUCCUCCACACUAAGAGGACACGCAUCCAAACCUCAAAAGCGCAUGACAACCUCUGCUUCCCUCUGCGAAGGGCCUAUCUUGUACCUUUACUUUUUGCCCUUGAAAGAGUCAUGGUGAUCUUCACCAAUUCCUUGUUUCGCCUUUAUCUUGACUAAUGUCAUAUGCUAGGGAAAGAUCUAUAUUCAUAUGUCAACUUGGAGGUAAGCAUUCAUGAAUUAUUAUUGUUGACAUUAAACUUGAGGUAAGAAGUUGGAAGGCAAAACUAUAAGUCCCUAUCUUUCUCUGUGUUCAGCUGAAACUUUGAUCUCAUGAGUACCACGUGAGUUGUGGCAAUUAUAGAGAAUGAAAAGAUGAUUGAGUAUGUGGAUUUGCUUUACAAGCUCUUAUUUGACUCUUUCUGAUGUUGUGAUAAAUUGCAAUUGCUUCAAUGACAAAAGGCUAUCGGUUGCUAAUUCUUGGUAAGGUUCUUGAUCCAUGCUUUACUUUGUGAAGGAAUUGUCACUUUAGCAUGAGAGAUUAUAUGUUGGUGUUGCUGUUUUGAUCAUGAUCAUGAUGCAUGCAUGUUCGUAUUUUGUUUUGUCGACACCUCUCUCCGUAAACAUGUCGUCUUAUUUAUUGAGCUCGGCUUUCGCUUGAGAACAAGCAAGGUCUAAGCUUGGGGGAGUUGAUACGUCCAUUUUGCAUCGUGCUUUUAUGUUGAUAUUUAUCGCUUCUUGGGCUGUUAUUUCACUUCACGGUACAAUACUUAUGCCUUUUCUCUCUUAUUUUGCAAGGUUUAGAUGAAGCGGGAGAAUGACGACAGCUGGAAUUCUGUCCUGAAAAAGGAGCAAGCUUGAGAUGCCUAUUCUGCGCAACUCCAAAAGCCGUGAAAAUCAACGUGGAUUUUUUUGGGAAUAUAUAAAAAAUACUGGGCCGAAGAAGUGCGAGAGGAGCGCAACCAGGGGGCCACAAGCCUGGUAGGCGCGGCCACCCCCACUAGUGGGGACAGGGCCUAUAGCCCCGGCCCGUAAGGGGCUUUAGUCCCGGUUCACCAACGGGGACUAAAGGGGCGGGACUAAAGGCCUAACCUUUUCGUCCCGGCCCUCUUACACGCCGGGACUAAAGGUGCUCCAUGUGGGCGCCUCGUAGCGCCCCAGGGGCAGGCCCUUUAGUCCCGGCUCGUUACACGGACUGGGACUCAAGAUUUUCAGAUUUUGCUGGUUUUUGGCUUUUUUUUGAAUGAAAUUAUUUUUGGGUUUUAGGAUUUUAGGGUUUAGGUGUUCAGGAGAUUAACGUGAUGCCUCGUUUUGUGUUCGGGAAUUAGUUUCAUAUAAUUUAAAAUAGAAAUAAUUAUGCAUAUAUAUAUAUAUAUAUAAGAUUAACUCAUCUUACAAGCGAUCAUAUACAAUUAUAUGGAGAUCUGAAUUAUCGGGACUAGAGCCCGUCUAUUCGAUUACAUGGACGAACAUCAGUAAUGGCCCUUAGCUACACUAAAUCGUCCUUUGUCUUCUAUAGCUUCCGUCCUCAGAAAUCCCGCAAGCUCCUCUGCAACAGCAAUCGCGCGUUGCUCUGGUAGGACCUUCGUCCUCAUGGCCUCGUGCUAUAUAAGAAGUGGAGAUGAAUAUGAAUAUCAAUCAUGAUAACAAAGAAUGACGGGUAAAAAUAGAGGUGUGAAUGUUCAUUGCUUACGUCGAAUCUGUGCUCCUUGAACUGAGAGGUAAACGUGCGAAUGGUCUCCAAACAUAGUAUCCGCAUAGAUGCGUUCCCCGUGGCUGCUGGUCGCACUUUACGAGAAUGGAAUAUAUAUAAUCAAAAUAAUAAUCUAGCAUCAUAAAUGUAUUGAAAAUUAAUAGAAUUAUAUCAUACUACUACUUACCUGAGCCGCUCUAAAGGCCAGCUUCUCAGGAAAGUUACCGGGAGUCACGCACUUGAACCGAUUCCAAACCCUGCCCGACAAGGAUAAUGAUUUGCUAAGUUUUUCAUUAAUUGAUAUAUCAGAAAAUCAUCGAAAUAGACCGAUAGAGCGCAAGAAUGAUUAAAAUUACACUUGGAGCAUGUCCUGCAGGCUUUGGAACUGUUCCAAGGGUCUCGAUAAUGGGUCGAAGGCAUCAACUAUUCCCUUAUCAAUUUGAAUGUCCAACAUAAUCCAAUGGAAGCUGCACAUGUAUAUAUAUAUAUAUGUGUGUGUGUGAGUAACUUAUCAAUUACACUUAUAAGUGAAUGGACACAACAGAGUAAAGACCCUCACCUGAAGUUGUAUGGAAACAAUAUGUGGUCACAUAAAUUUUGAUCUCUUAGAAACCUUAGAAGGUUUUCGUCCGUCUCCUUGGGAUAAUUAGUUAGCGUCGCUAUAUGUAUUUUAUCUGGAUCAAUAAACCCAAUAUUUAUGAUGCUCUUACUUUUACACUCCAGAAUCUUCAUUCUGCAUAAUAGAGUACAAGUUAUAUAUAGACAAUGAAUUGAAAUAACUAAACAAGUUAUAUGUAGACAACGAAUUGAAAAACUUAUAGACAAUAGCAACUCAUAAGCGAUUUGUCGAGGGCGUCGCCAUUGUACAUCUGGAAGAGUUCAUNNNNNNNNNNCUUCCCUUAUCAAUUUGAAUGUCCAACAGAAUCCAAUGAAAGCUGCACAUGUAUAUAUAUAUAUGUGUGUGUGUGUGUGUGUGUGUGUGUGUGUGUGUGUCAGUAACUUAUCAAUUACAUUUAUAAAUGAAUGGACACAGCAGAGUAAAGACCCUCACCUGAAGUUGUAUGGAAACAGUAUGUGGUCACAGAAAUUUUGAUCUGUUAGAAACCUUAGAAGGUUUUCCUCCGUCUUCUUGGGUUUAUCAGUUAGCGUCGCUAUAUGUAUUUUAUCUGGGUCAAUAAACCCAAUAUUUAGGAUGUCCUUACUUUUAUAAUCCAGAAUCUUCAUUCUGCAUAAUAGAGUACAAAUUAUAUAUAGACAAUGAAUUAAAAUAACUAAACAAGUUAUAUGUAGACAACGAAUUGAAAAACUUACAAACAAUAGCAACUCAUAAGCGAUUUGUCGAGGGCGUUGCCAUUGUACAUCUGGAAAAGUUCAUCAAAGUCGAUAUGGAUUUCUUCGGGGCGGCCGUAGUACUCCCGUGGGACACUCACCACGAUCAUCGUUCUCCCAUUCUUUGAUUCACUGAAGUACCAUGUAUGCAAGUAACACAUAUUUGUUGGGAGAUCAUCUUUGCUCACCAAAGGCGCUCCGAUGACAAAUUGUGGCUUAGCGGCUACCACAGCCUUGGGUAACCUGUCAUCUUGGAAAGCCAGAAUGUCUUCAACCGGGAUACCCCAUUCAUCCGCCCACUUCUUUGCUAAUUUCAAAUCUUGCCCCUGCACCGGAGGGGGCACAUUCUCGGUUAACAUCCUGAGGGGUGGGAUCGACUGUUUGGCCUGUUGUCCAAGCUGAGGAACGUNNNNNNNNNNCAAGUAACGCAUAUUUGUUGGGAGAUCAUCUUUGCUCACCAAAGGCUCUCCCAUGACAAACUGUGGCUUAGGGGCUACCACAGCCUUGGGUAUCCUGUCGUCUUGGNNNNNNNNNNNNNNNNNNNNNNNNNNNNNNNNNNNNNNNNNNNNNNNNNNNNNNNNNNNNNNNNNNNNNNNNNNNNNNNNNNNNNNNNNNNNNNNNNNNNNNNNNNNNNNNNNNNNNNNNNNNAGAUACCACAUUCAUCCGCCAACUCCUUUGCGUUUUCAAAAGCUUGCCCCUGCACCGGAGGGGGAACAUUCUCGGUUAACACCUUGAGGGGUGGGAUCGACUGUUUGGCCUGUUGUCCAAGCUGAGGAACGUCUGAUUUUUUCUUGCUUGUAGUUGAACUUGAUUUGCUCCCACUUGCACUUGCAUGUGACUUGCUCUUUUUCACUUCCUUCUGCAAUGUGCGUGUAUAGUCAUCAGGCUUAUAGUGUAAGUCAUACUGUGAUGGAGUGGUUAUGAAGUCUUUUGCCCAUGCUAUGUUCUUCUCGGUGUAUUUCGGGCGGGGCUCGGGUUCCUUCCUUUUCAUCUGCGCCUCAUGUUGUUCCUUUGCUAUCCUGGCGUUUUCCUCGGGGGUACGAUCAUAAGGUCUGAUAGGAAGAUUAGCAUGAGGUACCUUUGGGAGGGGCGACAGUUUGCGCUUUGGGGAGCUCUGUCGCUUAGAAAUCAUCGACGAAGCGUUCUUGCUGGCACGCUUCCGCUUAGUAUCAUGUGCGGGCGGCGGUGAAGACGGACGACCCAAGUCCGGCGGCGGUGAUUGAGAUGGACUCGUGUUGUGCUGGCCGACAUCAUGUGGAGGGCUUGGAGGUAAUGGAGGUGUAGGUGACCUGCGACGACUCGGAGGCGGUGUUGUCCUUGGGGCCGAGCCUGGAAGCUUGAUGUAGUUCUUGUCCCAUAGGAUGACUCCACCGAGUACUUCUCCGAGUGUCCUCUCAUCUUCGGGUCCAGCUANNNNNNNNNNNNNNNNNNNNNNNNNNNNNNNNNNNNNNNNNNNNNNNNNNNNNNNNNNNNNNNNNNNNNNNNNNNNNNNNNNNNNNNNNNNNNNNNNNNNAGUUGACCCUGAAAUUGAAAAGCACUACAAAUGAACUCUGAAAAUGUUUAAAGUUGGCAUGCUAUCAUCAUGUCACCCACAUAGCAUGUGUAAAAAAGUUGAGAGGGCUAUGACAAAGACUCGAUGCAGUUCGUGUACAAAACUGACAAUCUCUCUCGAAGUAUUUCGAACGAGAACUCAUCUCUUACAAAGGGAUUUCAUUUUUUUAAAACUUAUUUGAACUCCAUACUUUUUGUGUGUUCAAAAUGCACCAUUCAAAGGCACAUCACAAAAUUUCAACAAUUUCCACUUUUUUGUUAUAUUUCGUGCAUUUACUUUUUUUUGAGCUAGUUGACCCUGAAAUUGAAAAGCACUNNNNNNNNNNNNNNNNNNNNNNNNNNNNNNNNNNNNNNNNNNNNNNNNNNNNNNNNNNNNNNNNNNNNNNNNNNNNNNNNNNNNNNNNNNNNNNNNNNNNNNNNNNNNNNNNNNNNNNNNNNNNNNNNNNNNNNNNNNNNNNNNNNNNNNNNNNNNNNNNNNNNNNNNNNNNNNNNNNNNNNNNNNNNNNNNNNACAGUUCAUGUACAAAACUGACAAUCUCUCUCGAAGUAGCAGGGUUUCGAACGAGAACUCAUCUCUUACAAAGGGAUUUCAUUUUUUUAAACUUAUUUGAACUCCAUACUUUUUGUGUGUUCAAAAUGCACCAUUCAAAGGCACAUCACAAAAUUUCAACAAUUUCCGACUUAAUUUGGUAUAUUUCUUGAAUUUACUUUUUUUUGAGCUAGUUGACCCUGAAAUUGAAAAGCACUACAAAUGAACUCUGAAAAUGUUGAAAGUUGGCAUGCUAUCAUCAUUUCACCCACAUAGCAUGUGUUAAAAAGUUGAGAGGGCUACGACAAAGACUGGAUGUAGUUCGUGUACAAAACGGACAAUCUCUCUCGAAGUAGCAGGGUUUCGAACGAGAACUCAUGUGUUACAAAGGGAUUUCAUUUUUUAAAACUUAUUUGAACUCCAUACUUUUUGUGUGUUCAAAAUGCACCAUUCAAAGGCACAUCACAAAAUUUCAACAAUUUCCGACUUCAUUUGGUAUAUUUCUUGCAUUUACUUUUUUUUGAGCUAGUUGACCCUGAAAUUGAAAAGCACUACAAAUGAACUCUGAAAAUGUUGAAAGUUGGCAUGCUAUCAUCAUUUCACCCACAUAGCAUGUGUUAAAAUGUUGAGAGGGCUAUGAAAAAAACUGGAUGCACUUCGUGUACAAAACUGACAAUCUCUCUCGAAGUAGCAGGGUUUCGAACGAGAACUGAUCUCUUACAAAGGGAUUUCAUUUUUUUUUACUUAUUUGAACUCCAUACUUUUUGUGUGUUCAAAAUGCACCAUUCAAAGGCACAUCACAAAGGGAUUUCUUCUUCUCUCAUAUAUGGUGGACACUAGCUCACCUGAUUUUUCAACCGUCGAUGAUGGUCGCUACUCCUACUUCCCCUAGUGCAUAACCAAUAUCUAGCACAAGGAGAAGAAGGAGAAGUGAUUGUUUUAAUCAAAAACAGAUCUGUUACAAAAGGAUUUCAUUUUUUGAACUUAUUUGAACUGAAGACUUUUUGCAUAUAUAUGUGGUCGAAAUGCAUGAUACCAUGAAGUUAGAAAGGGCUAAACCAUUCAAAAGUAGGAAAUGAAGUUAGAAAGGGCUAAAACAUUCAAAUUUGGAAACUAUAAUGGCACAAACAGAAAUUAGACAUAUAUAAAUUGGUCCAAGAAGUACAUGAUACUAGUCCAAACAGUACAUAAUAAUAGCUACAAUAGAUAUAUAUACAAGUGUUCGACGUUAAGAACACUACUCGUCUGAAUCAUCUGAAUCAGAAUGUCCACCUUCCUCGAGGGGAUAUAGGUGACGCUGGCCAUAGUGGAUGACUCGAAUCUUGCGGUACAACUCGUAUGAAACAUAUGCAUCUUUUGCUGCAUACUCAAUGUUGAUAUCAUCAAGUGGGCCCUUCUCCCAAAGUCUGUGCUGAGACCUUGGGAAACUGGUCUUAUAUCAGCAUAUGAAUCGUCGAUCAAGGCAACUGCCAUACGAGCCAUCGAAGUCCUGUCAUGUUGAAGCUUGAAUAUCGUUUGGAUAUCAACGAGGCAACCAGCUGGUAUCUCAAUAUCGAAGCUGUGCCUCAUCUUCAGCCUGUCGUUCCUUAUGUCAACGGAAGCAAAAGUGACGCCGCUGCGAAGGAACUCCAUGAGUCCUGGACAAUGCUUGUCACUCCUGCAACAGAAACAAAUUAAAAUGGACCAAAUGUUACAUACUGCUGCAAUAAGGAAACAUGUUUCACUACAAGUAAAUAGAAACUUAUCUUUAGGAUUCAUAUAGCACAUAUGCAAUGGAACCUAGAGAUAGAUUAUGAACCUACUGCUGCAAUAAGGAAACAUGUUUCACUACAACUAUUUGAAGGGAACCAACUAUGAUAGAAACAAAUAAACUUAUACUUGGAAUUCACUAUGAUAGAUUAUGGACAUUAUGCAUAAUAUGCAAACAAAAGAAAGCUUGUUAACUAGUAAAUCCAAACUACAAACUAAGUCUUAUCGGAUUGACAAAAUUCGAUCCAAUGUGAAUUAUAAAUGAACACAAAUAAAUCAAAUGUACUCCACACAUACUACACUACUAAAUCAAAUGUACAAAUACACAAAAUCAAAUGUACUACACUACUAAAUCAAAUGUAUUCCACUACUAAAUCAAAUGUACUACACUACUAAAUCAAAUGUACUACACUACUAAAUCAAAUGUAUUCCACACAUACUACACUACUAAAUCAAAUGUACAAAUACACAAAAUCUACUACGCUACUUAAUCAGAUACACAAAUACACAAAAUCCAUGUGAACGUGGGAGUAGUGACCCUAGGGGAGGGAUUAUCUUGGAUCAAAGAAAGCCUCAAAACUUACUUCGCCCAUUGGAAGAUCAAGACAUGGCUUGCAAAGCAUAUUUGGAUGACGGCAACACCACGUUGAUCGGCCGUGUACUCCAGAUCAAGCCCGAAGAACUUCUCAUGAUCCGGUGCGUGGUUAAACCAUCGUUCCUUCAACUGUUCAAGGAAAUACGGCACCUCCGUGCUCAGGUUCGUGUACACGACACAGAGCUUUGUCGCGCCAUGCACGACCACCUCACGAAAGAUAGUUGGCAUGGUGGAAGAAGAGAAGGGAAGAAGAGAGGAGAAGAACAGAGAGGGCGACGCGAGAGAGAAGAAGAACAGAGAGGGCGACGCGAGAGAGAAGAAGAACAGAGAAAUGGCGACUGUACACUUCUGUUCGUGCUUUUCAUCGCCCGAAACGACGCGGGAUACAAACCGUUUGGGCCAUUAAUCCCGGUUUGAGCCACCAACCGGGACUAAAGAGGUAUACCAAACGGUUGCCACCACUACGGCAGGCCACGUGUUAGGCUUUUAGUCCAGGGUUCAACCACCAACCGGGACUAAAGAGGUAUGCCAACGGUCGCCCCACUACGGCAGGCCACGUGUUAGUCCUUUAGUCCCGGGUUGAGCCACCAACCGGGACUAAAGAGGUAUACCAACCGCCGCCACAAUGACGGCAUGCCACGUGUUAGGCCUUUAGUCCCGGAUUGAGCCACCAACCGGGACUAAAGGGGGAUACGAACGGUUGCCACCACCACUGCCCGCCGCGUAGCCCUUUAGUCCCGGUUUGGGACACGAACCGGGACUAAAGGCUCCUUACGGCCCGGGACUAAAGCCUCGAGGGAGGCAUUGAGAAUUGGGGCGACGUGGCCGGGCCUUUAGUCCCGGCCCAGAGGCACUCCAGGACUAAAUGGUCCAGGCCAAAGGCCCGUUUUCUACUAGUGCCCCCUGGCCGCACCUAGGGGGCUUGUGGGCUCCCUGCUGGCCCACUGGCUCCCCUCUUCUGCUAUAUGAAGGGUUUCGUUCCGAAAGAAAUCAGGAGGAGGCUUUUCGGAGGAUUCGCCGCCGCCACGAGGCGGAACUCGAGCAGAACCAAUCUAGAGCUCCAGCAGGACGAUCCUGCCGGGGAAACUUCCCUCCCAGAGGGGCAAAUCGUCGCCAUCGUCAUCACCAACACUCUUCUCAUCGGAGGGGACUCGUCACCAUCAACAUCUUCAUCAGCACCAUCUCAUCUCCAAACCCUAGUUCAUCACUUGUAACCAAUCUCCGUCUCGCGACUCCGAUUGGUACUUGUAAGGUUGCUAGUAGUGUUAAUUACUCUUUGUAGUUGAUGCUAGUUGGAUUACUUGGUGGAAGAGUUUAUGUUCAGAUCCUUGAUGUGUUGGGGAAUGUCGCAUGGGAAACAAAAAUUUUCCUACGCGCACGAAGACCUAUCAUGGUGAUGUCCAUCUACGAGAGGGGAUGAGAGAUCUACGUACCCUCGUAGACCGUACAGCAGAAGCGUUAGAGAACGCGGUUGAUGUAGUGGAACGUCCUCACGUCCCUCGAUCUGCCCCGCGAACAAUCCCGCGAUCAGUCCCACGAUCUAGUACCGAACGGACGACACCUCCGCGUUCAGCACACGUACAGCUCGACGAUGAUCUCGGCCUUCUUGAUCCAGCAAGAGAGACGGAGAGGUAGAAGAGUUCUUCGGCAGCGUGACGGUGCUCCGGNNNNNNNNNNNNNNNNNNNNNNNNNNNNNNNNNNNNNNNNNNNNNNNNNNNNNNNNNNNNNNNNNNNNNNNNNNNNNNNNNNNNNNNNNNNNNNNNNNNNUGCAGGCAGACGACAAAGAAAGUGGCCGUUAGGGGGGAGAGAGGGGCUGCGGGGUGGGCCGCCCAUGCUCUUUGCCGUCUGCCUGCAUGCUCUUUGUCGUGAGCUGGCAGACGGCAAAGAGCUGGCUGAUGGCAAAUAGUACCUUUGGCAUCAGCGUGCGCUUUGCCGUCUGGUUUCUGGUAGCUGAUGGCAAAGAGGGUCUUUGCCAUCAGCCAGCAGACGGCAAAGAAGCAGCAGAUGGCAAAUAACUGUUUUCCAGUAGUGAAUGGGUACACUCACAUCUUAGUCGCUGUUGAUUAUGUCACUAAGUGGGUAGAAGCUAUCCCCACUAGAAAUGCUGAUCAUCACACCUCUAUUAAGAUGCUUAAAGAAGUCAUUUUCCCAAGGUUUGGAGUCCCUAGAUAUCUGAUGAGUGAUGGCGGUUCACACUUCAUUCAUGGUGUUUUCCGCAAGAUGCUUGCUAAGUAUUAUGUCAACCGUAGGGUUGCAUCUCCUUAUCAUCCUCGGUCUAGUGGUCAAGUGGAGUUGAGUAAUAGGGAGAUCAAAUUGAUCUUACAAAAGACUGUUAAUAGAUCUCGAAAGAAUUGGUCUGGUAAACUUGACGAUGCAAUAUGGGCUUAUAGGACUGCUUAUAAGAAUCCCAUGGGCAUGCCGCCGUAUAAAAUGGUUUAUGGUAAGGCCUGUCAUUUACCUCUUGAGCUAGAACACAAGGCUUAUUGGGCAAUAAAGAGCUUAACUUCGAUUUCAACCUUGCUGGUGAGAAGCGGUUGUUUGAUAUCAGCUCAUUAGAUGAAUGGAGGGCCCAGACAUAUGAGAAUGCCAAGUUGUUCAAGGAAAAGGUUAAGAGAUUGCAUGAUAAAAGAAUACAGAAACGAGAGUUCAAUGUAAGUGAUUAUGUCCUGCUAUACAAUUCUCGCUUAAGAUUCUUCGUAGGCAAGCUUCUCUCUAAAUGGGAAGGUCCUUACGUUGUCGAGGAAGUAUAUCGUUCCGGUGCCAUCAAAAUCAAUAACACGGAAGGAAAUUUUCCUAGAGUGGUAAAUGGGCAAAGAAUCAAGCAUUAUAUCUCUGGUACACCCAUAAAUGUUGAGACCAAUAUCAUCAAUAUCAUAACUCCAGAGGAGUACAUAAGGGAUGUUUAUCAGCCUGUUUCUGACCCUGAAAACGAAGAGGUAUGUGUUUCGGUAAGUAAUUGGACUCCGAAGCUUUUCCAAUAGGAAAUUUCCUCCGUUUUGGAAUUUUUGGAAAAUUAGAAAAAUAAAAGCAGUCCGGAGAGCGCACGAGGCAGCCACAAGCUUGGUAGCCGCCACCUACCCCCCUGGCGGCGGCUACAGGGCUUGUGGGCACCUCGUGUGCCUCCCGGACUCCGUUUUCUUGCGGAGCACUCCUUCUGGUCCAGAAAAAAUCAUUAUAUAUACGACUGAGGGUUUUGAUCUCCGUAUCACGCAGUUUUCCUCUGUUUUCAUUUCGAGCCUGUUUCUGUUGCAGAUCUAGAUCAUCAUGACUUCCCCAAAAGCUCCUAAGGACAAGAUCUUCGAUAAGGUCAUCAAUCCCGAUCUCACGGAAGUGCUGAAACACCCUCAAUCUAUCAAGAUGAGCGAGGGGAUGUUGCACAUCCGUGAUGUUGAGGGGCCUAAGAAGAUCGGAAGCAUGGAGACGAGGGUCGAAGCAAUGGAGCAACAAGUCUUCAAGUGCCAAGGGAUGGUGGAGCGUGGACUCAACGCCAACCACAUGAUGAUCACGGAGUUCACCAGCAAGCACAAGAUGGAUGCCAUUGACAUUGGGAAACAUCUCUCCAGGCUCUAUGACAGGGUUGAUCAACUUCAGGGCCAGAUCUAUGUCCUGCAGAACCAAAACUGUGAGUAUGAGUAUAGAUUUAAAUCAAUACGGUUGGUUGCAGAUUUGAGGAUUCCGGCGACUCGUUCAUCCUGCCAUGAUGGAGCACCUAUGCCUUGGAAGACGGAGGAUCAGACUACCACAACAACUCCACCACCACCACCACCAAAGGAAGACAACUAAGCAUUGGUAUGGGCAAUCCCCUUGGCUUUUGCCAAGCUUGGGGGAGUUGCCCUGGUAUCGUAUCACCUUUAUAUCUUUUGCUUUUACCUUUGUUUUAGUUCUUUCCUUUUUAGUUUUUUAUUUCUUCUCUUAGUGGAAUAAGUCUUUAGUGUUUAGUUUGAGUCUUUUUCUUUGUGUCUCCCCCGAUGUAUUCGAGCUUGCGAGCUAUAUAAUAAAGAGUAUCUUAGUCAAGGGCUUUGUUUUGUGCCAUGAUCAAAAGUAUGAAAAGAACGAUAGCAUGAAAGAUCAUGAGAUGAUCUUAUGGAAAGUGAUAGCUUCACAUAUAACAAGUAUGAUGAUUGAAACUUGUUGAGAACAAACCAACAUAGACCUCAGUCAUUGUUGCAAUUAAUAAGAAGUAAUAAGGAAAGAGAGGUUCACAUAUAAAUAUAUCAUCUUACACACUUUCUAUAAUUGUGAGCACUCACCAAACUAUUACAUGCUUAGAAGUAAAUGUUGGACAAGGAAGACAACAUAAUGAAUUGUGUUUGCUUGGUUCCAAACAAUGUUAUAUGAUUAGAGAUCCCUUAGCAUGUGACGAUUGCUUCCACCUCAUAUUAGCCAAAACUCCCGCACCAAGUAAAGAUACUACUUGUGCAUCCAUAAACCUCCAACCCAGUUUUGCCAUGAGAGUCCACCAUACCUACCUAUGGAUUGAAUAAGAUCCCUCAAGUAAGUUGUCAUCGGUGCAAGCAAUAAAAAAUGCUCUCUAAUAUGUAUGAUCUAUUAGUGUGUGGAAAAUAAGCUUUAUACGAACCCGUGAUGAGGAAGACAUAAAAGCGAUAGACUGCAUAAUAAAGUUCUUUAUCACAGGAGGCAAUAUAAAGUGACGUUCCUCCGCACUAAGAGGACACGCAUCCAAACCUCAAAAGCGCAUGACAACCUCUGCUUCCCUCUGCGAAGGGCCUUUCUUGUACCUUUACUUUUUGCCCUUGUAAGAGUCAUGGUGAUCUUCACCAAUUCCCUAUUUUGCCUUUGUCUUGGCUACCGUCACAUGCUUGGGAAAGAUCUAUAUUCAUAUAUCAACUUGGAGAUGAGUACUUAUGCUUUAUUAUUGUUGACUUUACCCUUGAGGUAAAUGGUUGGGAGGCAAAACUAUAAGCCCCUAUCUUCCUCUGUGUCUAGCUGAAACUUUGAUACCAUGAGUACCACGUGAGUUGUAACAAUUGUGGAAAAAAGAGAUGAUUGAGUAUGUGGGUUUGCUUUACAAGCUCUUAUUUGACUCUUUCUGAUGUUAUGAUAAAUUGCAAUUGCUUCAAUGACUAUGGACUGUUGUUGGCUACUUCUGGGUAAAGUUUUUGUUUCAUACUUUGCCUUGUGAAGGAAUUGUUACUUUCUCAUAAGAAUCUUUAGGAUGUAUUGCUGUUCUAUGUGUGAUCAUGAUGCCCUCAUGUCCGUAUUAUGUUUUAUCAACACCUUCAUCCCUAAACAUGUGGACAUGUUUAUGGAACUUGGUUUUUGCUUGAGGACAAGCGAGGUCUAAGCUUGGGGGAGUUGAUACGUCCAUUNNNNNNNNNNNNNNNNNNNNNNNNNNNNNNNNNNNNNNNNNNNNNNNNNNNNNNNNNNNNNNNNNNNNNNNNNNNNNNNNNNNNNNNNNNNNNNNNNNNNCUUCUCUCUAUCUGCUGCCGUGGUCGGUGACCGAGUCUUACUCAAUCUCAUACCUUGCAAAACUGGCAAGAACCCUUUCUUUGAGUUUUCCAUAUUGAACUUCUUCAAUAUCUUGUCAAGGUAUGUACUUUGCGAAAGACCUAUGAGGCGUCUUGAUCUAUCUCUAUAGAUCUUGAUGCCUAAUAUGUAUGCAGCUUCUCCAAGGUCCUUCAUUGAAAAACUCUUGUUAAAAUAGGCCUUUAUGCUCUCCAACAUCUCUAUAUGAGGAAAGCUACAGAGCUCCCACUCACUUUCUUGUACAGACAGGCUUCUCCGUAAACCUGUAUGAACCCAAACGCUUUAAUCACCUCAUUAAAGCGAAUGUUCCAACUCCGAGAUGCUUGCACCAGCCCAUAGAUGGAGCACUGGAGCUUGCACACUUUGUUAGCACCCUUAGGAUCGACAAAACCUUCUGGUUGCAUCAUAUACAACUCUUCCUUAAGGUUCCCGUUAAGGAACGCUGNNNNNNNNNNNNNNNNNNNNNNNNNNNNNNNNNNNNNNNNNNNNNNNNNNNNNNNNNNNNNNNNNNNNNNNNNNNNNNNNNNNNNNNNNNNNNNNNNNNNGAAGAAGAAGAGAAAUGGACGAAUUGGGUUGGAAAUUUUCGAAGUCCCGCUUAUAUAGGUGGAUCUAUAGUCCCGGUGCGUGACUUGGGCCGGGACUAAAGCCCCUCCUCGGCUGCACGAUAAGUUUAGUCCCACCUCGCCCAGCGAGGGGGACUAACACUUGUUUAUAAGCCCCGUCGCAGCUUCUCCAUCGAGCUCCUCUCUAAAGCAGGCUUAUGGGUCUAAACUCACUGAAAAUUGUAACUAUAUUAGAAAUUAUAGGGAAAAUUCAAUCUAAAUUCAAAUGAGAAUUUAGGUUGAAUUUUCUCUAUGAUCUCGAAUAUAGUUUCAAUUUUUUUUUAUUUUCAUAAUUAAUAAUUUUGACUAUCCAAACUAUUAUCUAUUUUUUUAUUUUCAAUUAAAAACUAUGUUUAUUAAUAUUUUUUUUGCAUAUUUGAGAAUUUGACAAAACUAUGAUAAUGAAAAGUGUUUCAAAUUGAAUAAAUAAUGCAAAACUAUUUUUUAUUUUCAUAAUUAAUAAUUUUGACUAUCCAAACUAUUAUCUAUUUUGUUAUUUUCAACUAAAAACUGUGUUUAUUAAAAAUUCUUUUUGCAUAUUUGAGAAUUUGACAAAACUAUGAUAAUGAAAAGUGUUUGAAAUUGAAUAAAUAAUUCAAAACUAUUUUCUAUUUUCAAAAGUAAUUAUUUUGACUAUCCAAACUAUUAACUAUUUUGUUAUUUUCAAUUAAAAACUGUGUUUAUUAAAAAUUCUUUUUGCAUAUUUGAGAAUUUGANNNNNNNNNNNNNNNNNNNNNNNNNNNNNNNNNNNNNNNNNNNNNNNNNNNNNNNNNNNNNNNNNNNNNNNNNNNNNNNNNNNNNNNNNNNNNNNNNNNNGCUGCUGGGGUUUUCCUAAACCUAUAUCUCAAUGCAAAUUGUAGUUCUGAAUUCUCAUGCUUCUGAAGAGGUGGACUGUCGGGCGACGUCAGGAGUACAGAAUUAAAACAGACGACAGUAAGGAAGUUAUUUAUUAUGUUACAGGUAGUGCAACGGUUUGAGAAGGUCAAUACGUAAAAUACCAUUGUUUUGUAGUAGAAUUAACGAAGAAGACAGCUUAUGUAAAAAACCUGAAAAACAACAAUGUACUGUAGGAUACAACUUAUAUAUAGCCAGAAUUUGGUUCACAUGUUAAUCAAAACAUUUGCAAUAUGCUAAAUCAAAUACUAGAAAUCAGUAUCUUCUUUUUAAGGGUGAAAACACAUAUUUGCGAAGUUCUAAAGUUUCUGCCAGCUAGCUGCACAUAGUACCAAAUGGCAAAACUGAAUUAUAUUGUUUCCACUCAACAACUUCUACUUAGAGCAUCCCUAACCGAUACCUUAUAAUCUAGAGGAGCAAACCGCACGGUAUCCUAAACUUACAUUUCUCCUCUAUAAAAGUGUGGUUCCUUACCGAUUCCCCAAAAAGGACGCCAAAUUUUCGUAGUUUUAGUUCACAUACUAUGUUUCAACUACAUAUUUGCACACAUAUUAAAUCCAAACAUAGUAAUUAAGGUGCACGCAAGUCAAGAAUAUUACAAGUUUGGAGUUUACAAAUCAAAUUAUUCAAAUUCAAACGUACCGAGGGAAGGGAAUAGAAAAAGCAAAACUAUGGAGUUGGCCACUCAUGCUCAACAAUAUCAUCUUUUAGAUGGGUAUGAACUUCUCAAGUUCUCGAUGCUUCGAUGUGCAGGGAAGAAUCUAUGUAUCAUGUGGUGGCAUCGUGCUCCUGCUCAACAAGAUCCCCAUUGGAGAUGUAUAGAAAGUUCUCUCGCAUGUAUCUCUCCUCUUCAAUGAUCAUGAUAUGCAAGAUAAUGGAAAUAUGAGAACUUUACUAUAUGAUUUUAUUAACAUAAAUAGUAAAUAAAUCAUGACUAUCAUAGCAAAUAUAAGACAAUUCAUGCAAUCAGACAGAGAGUAUGCAAAUAGCAUCCGAAGAAAUGAGUAUGAACAGAACAUACUUAGAACAGAAAGUAAAACAAGAAGUCAUGAUAGGAUCUCAAAUUAAAAAAACACGAACACGUACUGAGCUGUAGUAGUAGCAUUGGGAUUGGCGUUGACGUCGUCACUGGCCAUGUCGUUGAAGUGGUUGUUGACGUCGGGGAAGAAGUCGUCAUUCGGAAAGUGGUCAUCGGCGUUCGUAUUGAAGAAGUCAGUACUCGCGCAGAGUGCUCCCGAAAAACUUUAUCACUUCUCCUAUAGAUGACUCAAAAUGAUGGGUUUCGAAGGCCUAUUGUCCGGACCUGCGGUGCACGUCGUAAAUGUUAGGUAACGUAGCAUAAAUUCAAAAUUUUCCUACGCAUAUUCAGAUCUUCCUAUGGAGAGACCAAUAACGAGAGAGGGGUAAGAGCAUCUUCAUACCUUUGAAGAUCGCUAAGCNNNNNNNNNNGCGUACGUGUAAAGUCGGUCCGGGCUGCUUCAUCCCACAAUACCGCCGGAAAAGAAUAAGACUAGUAGCGGUAAGCAAAUUGACAAAUCAUCGCCCACAACUUUUGUGUUCUACUCGUGCAUAGAAUCUACGCAUAGAAAACCUGNNNNNNNNNNNNNNNNNNNNNNNNNNNNNNNNNNNNNNNNNNNNNNNNNNNNNNNNNNNNNNNNNNNNNNNNNNNNNNNNNNNNNNNNNNNNNNNNNNNNNNNNNCCACUGUUGGGUAACGUAGCAUAAAUUCAAAAAUUUCCAACGCAUAUUCAGAUCUUCCUAUGGAGAGACCAGCAACGAGAGAGGGGUAAGAGCAUCUUCAUACCUUUGAAGAUCGCUAAGCGGAAGCGUUGCUAGAACGCGGUUGAUGGAGUCGUACUCGUAGCAAUUCCGAUCUAGUGCCGAACUAUGGCACCUCCGCGUUCAACACACGUGCAGCCCGGUGACGUCUCCCGCACNNNNNNNNNNCAGCGAUUCUGAUCUAGUGCCGAACUACGGCACCUCCGCGUUCAACACACGUGCAGCCCGGUGACGUCUCCCGCACCUUGAUCCAGCAAGAAGGAGGGAGAGGUUGGGGAAGAACUCCAGCAGCACGACGGCGUGGUGUCGAUGGAGAGACGAGGUUUCCCGGCAUGGCUUCGCCAAACACCGGCACAGAGGAGGAGGAAGAAGGGCAGGGCUGCGCCGAGAGAGAGGGAAAACCGUGUCCCCCAAUGGCCAAAACCCCUCUCUAUUUAUAGGAGGAGGGGAGGGGGGUGCGCCACCCCUAGGGUUCCCCCCUAGGUGGUGCGACAGCCACCAGAUGGGAGGGGGAGGCAGCCAGGGCAAGGAAAGGGGGGGCACACCCUAGGUGGGCCUUGGGCCUCACCUCCGCCUAGGGUUUCCCCCCUCCCCCCUUCUCUGGUGCGCAUGGGCUGGGUGGGGGGCGCACUAGCCUACCUAGGGGCUGGUUCCCUUCCCCACUUAGCCCAUCUAGCCUCCCAGGGUCGUUGCCGCCCCUUUGGUGGUCCCCCGGGGCCACCUCCGGUGGUUUCGGUGGUCCCGGUACGUUACCGGUGACGCCCGAAACACUUCCGAUGUCCAAAACCAUCCGUCCUAUAUAUCAAUCUUUACCUCCGGACCAUUCCGGAGCUCCUCGUGACGUCCGGGAUCUCAUCCGGGGCUCUGAACAUCUUUCGGUAACCUCGUAUAACAAUUCCCUAUAACCCUAGCGUCACCGAACCUUAAGUGUGUAGACCGUACGGGUUCGGGAGACAGGCAGACAUGACCGAGACACCUCUCUGGCCAAUAACCAUCAACGGGGUUUGGAUACCCAUGGUGGCUCCCACUUGCUCCACGAUGAUUUCAUCGGAUGAACCACGAUGUCAAGGAUUCAAUCAAUCCCGUAUACGAUUCCCUUUGUCUGUCGGUAUAGAACUUGCCCGAGAUUCGAUCAUCGGUAUACCAAUACCUUGUUCAAUCUCGUUACCGGUAAUUCUCUUUACUCGUUCCAUAGCACGUCAUCGUGUGACUAACUCCUUAGUCACAUUGAGCUCAUGAUGAUGCUCUACCGAGUGGGCCCAGAGAUAUCUCUCCGUCACACGGAGUGACAAAUCCCGAUCUCGAUUUGUACCAACCCAACAGACACUUUCGGAGGUACCCGUAGUGCACCUUUAUAGUCACCCAGUUACGUUGUGACGUUUGAUACACCCAAAGCACUCCUACGGUAUCCGGGAGUUGCACAAUCUCACGGUCGAACGAAAAGAUACUUGACAUUAGAAAAGCUUUAGCAUACGAACAAUACGAUCUAGUGCUAUGCUUAGGAUUGGGUCUUGUCCAUCACAUCAUUCUCCCAAUGAUGUGAUCCCGUUAUCAAUGAAAUCUAAUGCCCAUGAUCAGGAAACCAUGAUCAUCUAUUGACUAACGAGCUAGCCAACUAGAGGCUUGCUAGGGACAUCUCGUGAUCUAUUUAUUCACACAUGUAUUACUAUUUCCUGUUAAUACAAUUAUAGCAUGAACAAUAGACUAUUAUCAUGAACAAGGAAAUAUGAUAAUAACCAUUUUAUUAUUGCCUCUAGGGCAUAUUUCCAACAGUAAACCGGGAUGGUGAGAACCUAGCAGCAGCUGAGAGUACUUGACGCCAUGAGAAAGAUGAUGUUCUGAUGUGUCCCUGUGUAGAGGAGAGACCUAUGUUUUAUAGGCCGAGGAGAAGAAAGUGAAUAGACUGUGACGGGAGGUGAAGCAAAAGAGGGAGACGAAACAAACAGGCAACAACCAAAGGGAGCAGCGUUCGUAUUCGGUCUCCACAACAACAAAACUUUUCAGCUUUCGUGUGACCUUUCGUAUACCAUUCGUGUGUGGCAAAAUUUUAUACAAUGACUCGGCUCAUUCCCGCAACCCGCGGCGCGUCAUUACGGGGCGUGCCAUGGCGAGGUGGGCAGCGAAGGAGAAGCACACGUGAAUGUCUCUCUUGUUCUCAUACUCAUACAUGUGGAGAAACAACCUCCCUUAUAAGUAGGUCUAACUCCUACUAGGCGAGCAGUAUGGGACUAAACUUUAGUCCCACCUCUUGUCUUGCAUGAAUGGGGUAAGUGGGUCUCUAUGAUUUAUUAGGAAUUCUGAAAAUGCUAUUGAGCUGACCUAAAAAUAUAUUAAAUUGUAGCAACUCCCCCCCCCCCCCNNNNNNNNNNNNNNNNNNNNNNNNNNNNNNNNNNNNNNNNNNNNNNNNNNNNNNNNNNNNNNNNNNNNNNNNNNNNNNNNNNNNNNNNNNNNNNNNNNNNNNNACCACCAGAUCCCAGACGUACACAAAUUUUGCCUUUGAUUCCAAAAUACUGUUUAUAUACCGAUACUACAGUGGAGAUUGUUAAGUUAAACUUUCACUUAGAACUCUAUGGUACACUACUAAGCAACUUAAAUAGUGAACUAGGCCUUGAAGUGCAAGUUUUCUGUGAAUCUAUCUGCACACAAAGCCUUGACUGAUACCAGGCUACCAUGGGACUUCCCCGUGGGUGGAUAUUAUGCGUCAUACUCCGAGGCAUUUCAUGAGUUUACUAGAGAGCAUCCUGCUCUCAUAGAUUGUGGCGUUUAACAAUCCGACUCAUAUAUGUAUGUUCUUCAAAAGAUGUUCUGUGGCACAACAUCUUUGCUUAAAUAAGCAACUUAGAACACAUUAAGAUAUCUAUCAACCUCCCAUGCAGAUUAGAAGAGUAUUGCAUAUUCAUGUAGUGGUAUUAUUAAUAGUAAGGAUACUCUCCUCUCAUUUGACCAAACAUCUUGUCUUCCACAUCUAAUUCACGGGAUCUUCGAUCACAUAGAGUAAGUUAUCAGUUAUCACUCUAAACAACUCAUGUUGUGGAUCUCAUGCCCGUCUCCUUCGAUGCAUUAUCUAUCACAUUACGUGAUAGACCCUUAGUAAAAAAGGAUAUGCCAAAUUUCUAGACGUUUGGAUACAAUCCAAUGCAAUAACUCCGGAGUUUUUCAUUUUUCCGAGAGACUUUAACCUUCUUUGAAUAUGUCCUCAUGACUUCAUGUUAUCCUUUGAGCUUCUCACUUUCGUGAUCAUAGUUUGAUUUUUGUAGUUCAUAAGGAUACCCGGUACAAGUUUCUCAACAACCGACAAGUCAUUCAAGAGCCGACGAAGCCAAUCUUCUCUGACCGUAGUUGUAUCCAGUGUUGUGAGUUCUGCUUCCAUUGUUGACCUCGUUAAGAUGGUUUGCUUGCAAGACUUCCAAGAAACAACGCCACCUCCAUGAUUAAAUAUAUAUAUCCACUCGUGUCCUUUAUCUCAUCAGCAUCAGAGAUCCAAUUUGAGUCACUAUACCCUUCAAACACCUUUGGGUACCCAGUAUAGCAAAUCCCGUAACUCGUAAUGCCCUUCAAAUAGUGCAUAAUUCUUUCUAAUUCUUCGUAGUUGUCUCUUGUCUCAUUCGUGUUCUUUGUCCUACAGGUACCCAGAAUCAUGGAGAGCGAGCCACAAAGAAGCUAAGGGCAGGGCGACCAUGAACUAUUAUUCUAAACACGAGUGACAAAACAGCUCAGUACGGUAAAGCAGAUCCUAUCCUUGAGGAUACAGGAGGUGUAGUCAUGAAACACAUAAUACUUUUGUAUGAAUUUAUCUUAAGUACCGAGGCAAACCCGUGAGAUGAAUAUGGCCUUUCGGUUGGACCACUGACUCUUGAUGUAGGGCGCGCUCCGGUCAAGACAUAAUUUGGACCCCCCUCCUUGGAAUGUUGCAUGCGCACCUAGAUGGAUGACUUCGAGGGAACAAAUUAAUAUCAUAAUAAUUCCGUUCACAAAUACAUGGUUGUAAGAACAAGUCCUCAAACUCAUGCCUAUUUUUAUUAUAAGUGUUUUCAGUUUCAACUUGAUUCCGAUCCGGUCAAAAACAGGAAUUAAUACUCUUGCAAAAUCUUGACAGAAACCCUUGUCUUUAAAGGUGUCUUCCUCUGGUGGGUUUGAUAACUCAAGGUCACCUGUGGGGAAAAGACGCGAAUUUUCUGCUCCUUUAUCAGAUAACUAAAGGGACUAAUCAUCAGGACAAUUUAUCCAUUUCCAAGUUGUCGUCGUAUUCUUUCUCCUCCGACGAUGAAAAUUCAUCGACGAUCAACUCCCCCAGCCUCUUCAUCUACACUAAAAUGACUAGGUUUAAUUGCCAAAAUAAAAGAAAAACGAGAUUAAGAAGCAAAACAACCCACCUUGACAAAUAGUCGAACACUUGAAUGCGAGCAGAGGUGUCACAUGCGGCCGGAGACGUUAGUGGAGGUGGCUCCACUAACGGAGGGUCUAGGAGAAAGAAGAUCUGGUGCAUGCUUGCCACGACGGAUUACCGUGGCAACGACGACAAUAGAGACAACGGGUGACGUGCGUCUUGGAAUAGGACAGGAGGGCAGCGGGUAUCGAUGAUGGCAAAGUAUGGUUGCUGGAGGGCACAUUGCAGGUGGGAGGGCAUAGUUUUUACUCCAUGGAUGGGCGCUCGCAUAUAUUUGAGAGUCGAGGUGGCUCCGAAGUAAAAAAAUGUACUCCUCUAAAGGCAAUAGAGGAUCGGUUAGGUGCGGUUUAGAAGAGGGAAACCGAACGUUUACUCCUGUAACUCCUUUUAGGGAUUGGUUGGAGAUGCUUUUACAGCACUAGCAGAUAGGUACUCCGGUAAAAGAAGCAUAAAAUAUAUAUGUUUGGUAAAACAAGCCAAUAACUAGAUAGAGAAGAUAGGUACUCCAGUAAAAGAAGAACAAAAUAUAUACGUUUGGUAAAACAAGCCAAUAACUAGAUAGAGAAAAACAUCUGAUGCAUAAAACCUAAAAACAAUGUAAUAUAUGAAACUUGUUGUCAUUUAGUGUGGAUACAUCCUGAAUUUUGUUUACAUGUUUGUGAAGCUGACCUGGGAUGGCUGCGAUGGAAAUAAUGUGAUGGUUACCAUUCAUAUAAUUCUGAAUCUACUCACAUCCAUGAAUGACAAGUUAGAAAUAAACGGCUUAGCCCAUCAGCAACUAAAAUGUCAAAUCAGCCGUUGAGCAAAAUGGUAAAUAAUGGUGCUAAAAUUUAAUUCCAUACUACUAGUUGAGAAACUGAUGGACCUCUUUAUGUAUUGGAUUCUCUGCAUCAUAUUUUAAUAAGGUGUGAAUGAAAGAAAUACGAGACUACACGCGCUCGGUCUCUUCACUAGCUCGGGGGCGGGGAGGCACGUGCACACGACAUGCCCAUGAAUGGCUUGCCUUUUUUAAAAAAAAAAAUUUGUGUUUUGACAGAGAAGUUAAUUAUUUCUUGUUCAAUAAGUAUAUUACCUAGAAUUCAAAUAGAUUUGAGAUCAUGAACGCGACACGAUACCGCCUUCGCUCCUAUUAUAUAUGCUGCUACCGGCUGCGGUCAAAGAUAUAGCGAUAACUUUUAAGCCGUGUUUGGUUGGGGUUAAUUAGAGCUAGGGAAAAGGAAUUAAAGGGGUAUGAGACUACAAAUCUAUUGUUUGGUUAGAGGGAUUGGGAAUUUAUAAGAAAAUAGUCACGAGACUUGAGAAUCCAACUCCCACCGUUUUAUUAACAGGGGAGGGAUGGGAGUAGGAAGGGAAUUGUUUUAACGAGACAAUCGUAACCCUUCAUCAUAACUUACGUUAACUUUCCUUGUUUAGUCUCUUGUUAAUUCCCACGAACCAAACAAGGGAAUAAGUUUGUCCUCAAAUUCUCACACGUAAUUCCCAUCAUGAGCCAAAGAGAGGAUUAGGGAUAACUUGACCCAUCCCAUGUGUAAUGUUAGUACAAUUUCCUCCGCUAAACUCCCAUUCCCCUUCCCCAAUAUAGCCAAACACGCUGCUAGGGUUUUGCCUCGUCUCGCAACUUGCGUCGCCAUCGUAUUUUACCCUAUCCUGAACGGCGGCGUGCAUUGGAAUAUAAUAGAGGGGGUCUUCACAACCGUUCGUCCCUGCGAUCCUGAACCAUCCGUUCGCCCUUAAUCAAAUAUACCUUUGAUACAGUUUACCUUUUGAGGCUCAUUUAGUUUCCAUUUUAAUACCUUUGUUCCAUGUUUGUGCCUAUACCUCGUACCACAAGUUAUAUGAAGUUUGCAGUAGAAUAUAGAGGCUUUCCGGAAUAUUUGAUUCCAUGUUUAAUAUACGCAGACUAAAUAGCUUAUGCCAUGUUCUUCAUGGAGAAAUUUAUCCACUUUAUCUAAAUUUUUUUUCUUGCAAGGGGCUGUUAGAAGUUCAUCCAGUUGAUUUCCUUUGAUGUGUGACAUACACAUAAGAUUGUAAGUUUUGUAAAAAAAAUUGCUAAUUAUUAAGAGAGCCGUUUAUCCAGUUUUUUAAUUUAUAUCUUGCAAGGGGCUGGUAGAAAUUCAUGCAGUUGAUUGUCUUUGAUGUGUAACAUACACAUAGGGUUGUGUUUUUUCCAAAAUAAUCUGCUAAUACAAGUAUAAGAGAAGCGCAGCUGCCAAGAAAACAGAAGCGCGAGCAUUACAGACUAAUGUCACCGCAUCAUUUUCAAGUAGUUUCUGAAUUUUAUAACAGCGAGACAAACCUAAAAUAGAUUUUCUACUGUCAGGAGAAUGGACAAAAUUUAGCUAGAAGAGCUGCUGGGUUUUCCUGAACCCCCAUCUUAAUCCAAAAAGUUUUGGAUUGACAUGACCGAGUUGGCGACAGUCUGAAGAAGUGAACUGUGAAGCGACGGUCAGGAGUCCUGCUCAGGUCUUUCAAUACACUGCAUCGACAUCCGGGUAUUGCACCUCCGCGUGGGCUGAAUUAGUAGAAACAUCGAAGCAGUUAGACAUCAUGUCACAGGUACUACAAAAGGUUAAUGAAAAGUUUAAGAAAGCUGAUGUACAAAAACUGAAAACAAUGUAAUUAUGUGGAUACAGCCUGAAUUUACUCCACACAUUAUUCCGAAUAAUUACUGUAGGCUAAAUAGUAGAAAUCGGUAUCUUCUCUGUGAAGUUUAAAUGAGCAGGCUGAAGUGAUUUUGAUUUUCAAGUUGCGGAGUAUUCCUCUAGCUGCAUAUAUUACAAUAUUGAAGAACUGAAUCAUCUAAAUUCAAAACCUAGCAAUAACAAGCUUCAGAGUUCAGACAACCUUCUAGCAUCUGUCCAUAAAUCCAACAUGCAGUUGACUGAUUUGGUCAACAACUUCUAUUGAUAUCUCCUACAGCAGUUCAGACUACUAGUUUCACCCAAAGUUUCAGUAAACUGUUUUUCAGACUACUAGUGUUGUAGUAUACGACCUGAUUCUUUUUUCUGAAUUAUACAUAUGGAAGUCAAUAUCUUCUAUGUGAAGCUGAACUGAUUUGGGUUUUCAAGUUCGAAAAGUGGCAUGUAACAACGAACUAAGUUUCAGAUUACACAGCCAGAUUAAUCCAACGGCCACAAUGAAAAGACAACAGUUCAAACAAUUGUCAAGUCCUAACUGAAGCAAAUUAGCAGUUGUUUCAGUAAACUGUAGCAAUUUCAGUAUACUGUUUUCCAACGCAACCAGACUACUCCAUGAAAAUAGAACCCAAAACAUCAUGGAGGCUCUCAUCUCACCUGGCGUCCCGGCCGCGAAGACGACGAUGUGGAGGUCCCGGAGGCUGCGGGGCAGGUCGACGGCCAGUGGAGUAAUCCGCCCGAAAGUACCAGCUUCGACGCACAUGACGAGGUUGGAGACGUCCUUGAUGUCACCCAGCCGGCGGGCCAGCUUUUUCCUCAGGCGGACCACGGACCUGCCUCUGAACACCAACGCGCCGUGGCUGAUGCGGGUCCCGUCGACGCCCGCCCGCGCGUACACGAUCAGCCGCGACGGCAACAGGGCGGCGAGUAUUCCGAGGAAGGGAAGCUGCAGUUGAGUCGCAAAGAAUCAUCUGCCCGAAUGCCGGGGAAUGGGGAGGCGCAAGAAGACAAAGAAACAGGGGUGGCAACCAAGAAGCGCAAAUCUGGCAAGAACAGAGCCAAGAAUUUGCUCGGAGACGAAUGAAAUUAACACGAUCUCCAAUCUUUGCGGCCAAAUUCCGACGCAUGUUAACCCAAUUCGCGCAAAUUCGGGAAGAAUCAAGAAGCGGGCAUGGCGGACUCACCCCAGUCGAACGUGGAAGGGGAGGCAUGCCCUCCCUGGCGGGGAUGGGCUCGACUACCCAGUGCAUCAUCGUGCUGACCUUGUAAGUGUACUCGAUGUCCUCGGCGCUGACGCCAUUGUUCCAGCUGAGGUACCUCCCGUUGGUGCGGAGGCAGCGGCCGGUGAAUUGCCAGAGCAGGACGUCGUUCCCCGAGUCGGCCCCGGCAGCCUGCCACAUGAUGGCCUGCACCUCCGGCUGUGCGUAGUCGCGCAGCUCGACGCGGAGCCCGCGGUGGCCUAGCGGGGCCGGCGCCUCCGUGGCGGAGAGGUAGCGACCGUACGCGGCGCUGUGGAGGAGCACGUAUUCCACGUGGCCGUGGUACAGGUGCACCACCCAAGCCGCGUUCAUCGACGCCCGGCGGUGGUGGAGGGAGACGCCACGCCCGUCCUCGUCGGCGUGCAGGUACGUGCCGCGCUCGCGGCUCCGCAGCCGCACGUGGUGGCCGUCCUGGAACUGCUCCAUCGGUCUCCGCCUCGCCGGUGACGCUGGAGAGCAGAGGCGGGGAUGGUGGGUUCUUGGUUUCUUGGCGCUCCGGCGAGG
rnacentral:lncRNA from 1 species